rnacentral:lncRNA from 1 species
GCUGUUUUUAACAAGGAAGAUGAUAUUGGAACCUACACUAUCAAAGCGGUUGAUGAUCCGAGAACCUUGAACAAAAACUUUUACAUUCAGCCUCCCGGUAAUAUUUACUCAUUCAAUGAUCUUGUGUCUCUGUGGGAGAGAAAGAUUGGUAAAACCCUCGAAAAGGAGUAUGUUUCAGAGGAGCAGCUCCUAAAGAAUAUUCAAGGUUGGUUAAAACUCUCUUUUUUAAAUGUAUUAAAGAGAGCCGUAUAUUCUCUGCCGUAAAUGUUAUUGAUCCUGUCUUCUCCAAAAUGUUGCAGAAGCUGCAUCUCCACACAAUUUUAUAUUAUCAAUUUAUCACUCUGCUUUCGUGAAGGGAGUUCAAACUAACUUCAAGAUUGAACCAUCUUUUGGAGUUGAAGCCUCGCAGCUUUAUCCUGAUGUCAAGUACACUACAGUUGAUGAGUACCUCAAUCAGUUUGUGUAACCCUUCUCUGUUUCCAGCUGCAGCUUGCAGGAUCUUGGACUGUUGGUAAAUAAAUAAUUGGCUUGUUGCCAUCUUUGGUUUUAUAUGUAAAAAUUAUGGUUGUUGGCCUUACUUUCUUCUGGUUGUCCAUGGAAUUUGUUAGACCAUAUUAUGUUUGCUAUGUCAGUGAUCAAAUGAAGUAGGCCAUGUACUUGAUUUGAGAGUAGUAGUUAUAAAGCCAUCAUGAUCAGGUGGGUGCGUAGGUUGGGCUUCUAUUAGGGUGCGUGUGUUGGGCUUCAGGGGCUUGUGAUAUGGGUUCGACAGCCCCUAACGGGCAGUCAUUAUAAAAAUAAUUAUAGAGUUACAAAUCUAUGUAAAAAGCAAAAAUUAAAAGUAAUUUAUCAAUAAAAAUAAUUAAAAUUAAUAAAAAGUAGGUAUGAUAAUUCAGAAAUUAAAUUAAAGAUAGAAUUCUAAAGAGUUGGAUAAUCCUCCAACUAAACUAAAGAUCUAGUACUUUUGAGAGCAAAUUUAAUUAAAGAAAAGGAUAAGGAAAAACAAUAGAAUAAUAAUAUUAAAAAAUUGCAAAUCUUGGUCUUUUUUUUUUACGAUGAUGUUGAAUUCUUAUAAAUUUAAUCUUAUCUAUAGAAUUAUUUAGUUACUGUAUGUCAAAAUUUCCUAUAAAGAUGAAGAAAAAUUAUAUUAGGAGAAGAUCCAAAUCCGUUUAACUGAUGCAUCAUCGACAACAUGAGUACAACAUUUUCGAAUAAACAAAAGAAACUCGUUUUAUGUGUGAACCAGUUCCAAAAUAAAGAGCAGACUAUUGGAAGGAGACAAAUACUACAAGAAGAACAAAACAUUCUACAAUUCCUACAUGAGCCCGCAACAAUUAAUUAUUAACUCGACAUUCAUUACACUUUUUCUUUAAUUUGACAAAGAAACCAAAAAUAAGAUAAAAUUGACUAAGAAAUAAAAAAAUGACAAAAAUCUUUUUGAAGUUUUGCCAGUUCAGCCAUGCACGCUUAUCUUUAUUCACUUGUUUCCUUUCUUUCCUUUCUUUCCUUUCUUUCCUUUCUUUGCUGAAGCCUUCACAGAUCCUUUACCUUUCUGAGCCUUGCCAAUUUUCCCCUUCUUCAAACCACCUGGCCUUGCUGGAUCCACGUGUCCUUGCAUCCUUUUUCAUUCGUGGAUCAACAAGAAUCUCCCCCUUUCCAGCUCUCUCUUGAACUCCUUGCUUUGCGACCAUGUAUUCUUUGGUAGGCCUUUUGGGUAUAGUUGUCUUGUAUAAUUGUUCAAUUUGAUUCCUCUUCGAACGAUCAGAGAUGUCCGCUUAGUCUGAUAUGACAUUUGCCUUCUUGCGAACCUUCUCAAGAUUUCGCAUGGCAACCCGUAUCUUUCGAGCUUUGGUCUUAGCCACCUUCUUGGCAGUAUGGGUGGGCGAUUCGAUUUUGGGAUAAACUUUUGGUUUCGUAUCGGUUUAGAUUAAAAAAUAAUAUAAAAAAAUAUUUAGAUUUUAAGGGAAAAAAUCCGAACCGAGACUCACCUAUCGAUUUUGGCUCGGUUUCAGUUCAGUUUUGAUUCUCCUAAUAGUUUUAUUUUGCCUUAUUGACUUCCGGUCAAUGACACUUUUGAAAAAUUUACAAAAAAAAAAAAAAUGGCCAUAACAAAAUUUCUAAAUGCAAAUAUUUCCUAAACAUUAGGCUAUACUAAAUUUUUUUAAAAGGUAGGGAUCCAAACGAUAUUAUCCCUCUACUUCAUCUUCAACCUUCGUCACUAGGGAUGGCAAAAUUCAGGUUCGGGUUCGGGUCCGGGUUUAGCCAUUCGGGAUCCGGACCCGGAUGAAUAUUUUCUGUAUCGGACCCGAAAAUAAACCCGCAUUUUUCCACUCCGAGUCUGGUACGGGUUCAACCCGAAAAAAUUCGGGUUCCCAGACUGCGGGUUUCCAACCCGAAUUGAUGAAUCCAAUUGAAAAAAAAAAACUAAAUUCAACUAAAAAAAUCAAAUAGAAAUACAUAUCCAGGAUUUUAGCAAAUCAAAGAAAAAUUAUUUCAUCUGGAAACUAAUUAACAAAAACAACAAUUUUGUUUGGCUGCCCAGAAUCAGCAACCCAAUGUGGCGGCUCGUUCAAAACAUUAGUGUUUUCAACAGAUUUUGGGGUAGGAAAAGCCAAACCUAUCUAGAACAAUGAAUUUGUAUUUUUGGGGGAGAUGAGAUACCUCACUGGUUUGUUGUGUGCGGUGCAGUGUAUCUGAAAUUUGGGGGAUGUGAGAAGGGGAGAGGGAGUGGUAACAAUGGUGAAAGGUCAAAACCAAUAGAGAUGUCCUUCAAAAUGAGCUUCACACCUGUAAAACAGUGAAAUAAAGGUUAGAGGUGAAGCCGGGAUACCCCGGUGUUCACACUCCGAUGCUCAAGUUAGCAAACUCAAGCUUUUAUGACAAAGAGAACUGGCUAGCCCUCUGUAAAUUAGGGUUUAAGGUUCAAGGAAACCUAUUUUUUGGAAUGUGAGUGUUAAUGGUGAGUGAGAGACCUCUUCGAGAAUGAAACAUAGGCGCCUUUAUAUAUGGAGUACCUCAGCUGCCACAUGACGUACCCUUUUUUGGCUAACGUCAUUUUUCCUUUUUAUGAUUUUUGGGUCGUUAUGUGCAUGUUCGCGGGGUAUCUCAUCUUUUGGAAACGUGGCGCGCGCUGGAGAGUGGUCCAGGGUACCUCUGCAGUAGCUGUCGGGUAGGCAGCUGAAGACCACUGUCCUUGGGACAAUGUCCUUCACUUUUGGUAAAGGUGACAGGCGGUUGUCCCCCUUUUUAACACGACAUUUUUUAUUCCUAAUUAUGACAAAAUCGAAUAAUAUCUUUUAAGAGAUGGAGACGUUUCUCAUGGUGGAUAUUUUCAGAGGAUUCUCUUGCAUCUGAUCAGCCGGGUUCCUCCAGUUAUGCAGGGUACCUCUAAUUUUACGGGGUACCUCUAUUUGCGCAGGGUACCUUGAAUCAUGCUAGGUACCUUAGAUUAUGCGGGGUACCUCAUAUUGUGUGGGGUACCUCUAAUUGUGCGGGAUACCUCUAUUUGCGCUAGGUACCUUGAAUCAUGCUGGGUACCUCAGAUUGUGCGGGGUACCUCUAUUUGUGCAGGGUACCUUGAAUCAUGCUGGGCACCUCAGAUUGUGCGGGGUACCUUUAGUCAUGCGAGGUACUUUUAAUCAGGCCAGGUACCCUCUAAUUGUGCUGAGUACCUCUAAUCAUGCAGGGUACCUCUAAUCAUGCGGGGUACCUCUAAUCAGGCCGGGUACCUCAGAUUGUGCGGGGUACCUCUAUUUGCGCAGGGUACCUUGAAUCAUGCCGGGUAUCUCAGAUUGUGCGGGGUACCUCAAAUUGUGUGGGGUACCUCUAAUCGUGCGGGGUACCUCUAAUCAUGUCGGGUACCUCGGAUUGCACUGAAAUUAUUCCAUUCGUUGACACGUGGCGUUAUGCUAUCUUUCUUAUUUUUCCCCCAAACAACAUCCCUCUAGUUUCUUUUGGCAAGAAGUUUUGGAGGCAAAAGAAACUUACAUAAAAAGUAGGAGCGACACGUGGCGAUAUGAUGUUUAGCUCGAUGGAUAACUAAAUAGAGGGCGCCUCUAGGGGUACCCUGAGAACCCAAAAAGGGAAGAUGGGCUCCAUUUCCUCGGAAAUGGCUACCACUUUGGACAUGUUGGAAAUGAUAGAGCUAAUUGAUCAAAAAAAUUUCAUCUAUUUCUGGGGAAGAACACCAAAUACGGGUAGAGGGUAUCGUUAGGGUACCCCACCAUUAUCCAUAGUUUGUUUUCUAGUGACUGCCAUGUAUAAAUCGCUCUGGUGAAGGCUUCAAUACAUUCUUUGGGCAUUUAAGAAGCAAUUAUUUGAUUAUCUCGGGAUCCACCUUAUUUAAGGGUAUAUUUCCUUCAUGUGCUUCGAAGAAAAAAAUAAAAUCACAGGGCCUUCUUCCUUGUAACUUCAGAGGUACCAUCGACAGAAGAACAUAGUCGACAAUGCUUUUAAGCGUAUCAUGAUCGAGGAAUGGAGUGCUGAUCUGGGGUUGGUGGUGCCAAGAGUGGAGAAGAUGGUAGAUGAACCGGCUAUCUUGAAGGCGAUUAAUGAUAGCGGGGCUCCCAACACAUCUUGGUCUGAAAGCCCAUUGAGAUCAGCUGAGGUACCUCAGAUGAGGUAUCUAUAAGGUACCCCUGAUACUAACCCUUGUGUUUUUGCUACUUUUAGCACUUUAUUGAUCCCUUCAUCCUAAGGGAUGAAGUUGAAGAUAAAUAUCCUGUUGUAUAACCUUGUUCGACAUUACUGACAAGAUGUAUGGGGUACCUUGUUAGCCUAUAUGGCUAUAAAUAUUGAUUUUGAUGAUAACAAACCACAUGUAUUUAUUGAGUAAAGAUUUAUGAAUUGUGCUUUUAUAAUGAGAAAAUGAUGUUAUGGAAUUAAAUCUUUUUGAACUAAAAUGAAAGUAAUUUUAAAAUCUUUGAUAGUAUUUUAAAUUUCGGAUUUGUACAUAUUUGAAACUAUUUAAAUGUUUUUAGGUCAUUUUGUAAUUUCACAAAGUUUGGGCGAAGUCAUAAUUUCAUAAAGUUGUGGGAUUGAGAAAGCAUUAUCUAAAAUUAUGAAAUUGGACAUAUUUGCAAACGUUUAUAACGUUUUGGGCCAUACCACAGUUUUAUAAAGUUUUAGGGUCAAAUUGAAAAUAUUAGAAAAUUUUCACUGUAGCAGGUUACUGUAGCAAGCAGCUUACCGGAUUCAGAAAAUCAGAAAUCCGGAUUCGAGGCAGUAAGCAUCCAGAACCAAAACGGCUUACCGGAUUCCUGAAUCCGGCAAACCGGUUAGGCAAAAUUUUGAAUUUUGCCUUAACGGUAACAUAAAUCCGGCUUACCGAAUUCUAUAAAAUGGCAAACUGGAUAGCCUAGAAUGUGAGUAACGGCUAGUUUUCGAGCUCAAGCUAUAAGAACUCAAAUCCAACUCAUUUUGAAGCUCUCCAACAAGCAAGAACAAAAAGCACACGUGAUAUCUUGAGCCUUCAACUUGUAAAACACAAUUCAUUGAAUCAUUCAUUGUUCUUCAUCUUUGAAUAUCUACUCAUUGAGUGAGUUUCAUUGUAUCUUUCAUUUCUUCAAUUCAUUUGUAAGAGUUUGAGUGUGUGAGACACUUGAGUGAAGAGAUUGGGAGAUAAUCUCUUUGUUGUAAAGGUUUAUUGACACCUCGAAGUCAAUUGUAAUCGUUGAAGCCUUGGAAAGGCUUGGAUAGUGAAAUCCUCGAGCUUGGAUCGCUUGGAGGCGUGGACGUAGGCGGGGAUUACCGAACCACGUAAAAAUUCGUGUGUUUGUUUCUCUUCUCCCUUACUCUUUAAUUAUUGUACCAUUAUUGAACUUAUUACUUUCAAUUAUUGUUAAGACAUUAGAUUGCUUGUUGUGUGGAUUUGUUAGGAUAAUUUUUAAAAAUCCAAUUCACCCCCCUCUUGGGUUGCACACUUGUAUUUCAUACCUCAUGUACCCUAAUGCUUGGAUAUCCCUUGAGCUAUCUGUUACUUCAUGGCGGAAUAACCCAAUUGCAUCAAACAUAUGGCGAUUCUUCCAGAUAUGCUUGUCGCUUAUCUUAAGCUUUCUUAGGGUUCCUCCUGGUGUAUCUGAGGAAUAGCUUUCUGGCGUGGGGUACCCUUAAUCAGCGUAUGGUGAUUUUCAUAGAAAUGCUUGCCGCAAAUCUUCACAAAACUUGUUGCGGUUGCUUUUGAGAGAUUGUGCGGGGUACCUUGAAUCAUGCCGGGUAUCUCAGAUUGUGCGGGGUACCUCAAAUUGUAUGGGGUACCUCUAAUCGUGCGGGGUACCUCUAAUCAUGUCGGGUACCUCGGAUUGCAGUGAAGUUAUUCCAUUCGUUGACACGUGGCGUUCUGCUAUCUUUCCUAUUUUCCCCCAAACAAUUAGUAAAGAGAGCUAAAGAACUAGCUUUAGUUACGAGCAGAAAAUCAGAAGUCAAGGAGCAGCCAAAGCACUUUUAAUGGUGAUGGUAAAACUAGAGAGGUAAUGCAAAUAAGUUUACGUUGAUUGGAUAUUCAGAAGAAGUAAUACGCCAUUAAAAGCAACAAGUUUUCCAAAAAGCCAACAAAGACAGAGACCACCACACCACCCCGCACUGGAUGAAAAACGAUGAAAGCAUGAUAAGUGGCAUCGAGUAAGCCACGUUCUCUCUCUCUCUCUCUCUCACUCGCACUCGCACUCGCACUCGCACACACUGUUACUAAAAUGACCAAAAAUAAGAUUCCCAUCAAAAUAUUUUCGAGUAUCGUUCUUGAAAGUGGCGGCGGCUGAUGAUGAUGAACACAGCCGCGAUUGCGAUUGGCGAAGGCGGCGUUCUGCCCGUAUCACAGCUAGUUAUCGGUCGCGGCAGAAAAGAUAAUGAAACGACGGCUGAUGAUGAUGAUGAUGAUGUUGAACAGCCGCGAAUAUGGGUAAGUGAUGCGACGAUGAUUUGAUUUGAUGAAGAUGAGCUGAACAUGGAAUAAGAGAGGAAAUGUUUGUGCGGCUGGGAAAGUGUAAUGAACUGCUAGGGCACCAUUUGGGUUUUUUUGCUUUCCUAUUUAUAUUAAAAAUAAUUUUUAAAAAUUAAUAUAUAUCCGGGUUCGGGUUUUGGAUGUACGGGUUUACCUAGACCCGGACACAUGCGGAUUCAGCAGCACCGACCACCCACAGACUUGGAUUUGAUUACAAAGUUGGGACUUAGGAUUUGGGUUUGUGGCUGCCGAAACAGAAAGUGAGAGAGUAGAAAGUAGAGACUGAGAGUGGUGCAAACAUGUGUAAUUUUGUGUGUGUGUCUAUAUAUAUAUAAUGUGAAAUUACAAAAAUGCCAUUAUAUCAGUUCAAUUCGAAUUUUGUAACUUGUGAUCCGAAAACUGAACCAAACCGAACCAUUUGGUUUGGUAUUUAUAUAUUCAGGUUUUUAAUUUAAAAAAACUAAAUUGAAAUUGAAAGAACUAAACCGAACCGAAUUUUUUUUUUUUUUGUUUCGAUUCAAUUAUGCCCAUCCCUACUUAGUAGGCUGGGUAUCAAUUUCUUUGAAUUGUGCUUUCAUUGCAGUAAUCUCCUCCUUGGUAAUAGGUUUAAUUGCUUGCUGAUGCCACCUUUCCUCUAGUAACAACUAGUCUAACAAGCCAUCAUCGUCAAACAUGUACCUAUUAUAAGCAUCAUCCAGAAUUUGCUCUCUUUGCUUUUUGCUUAGUGUCUUCUUUGCACAAGCUAUUAUCUUAGCUUUUGUAUCAAUAUCUUUAUCUUUUGAUUCACCAGAGGAUGAAUCAUCACCGGAAUAGAGUGGUGAAGGCCCCAUAGAUUAGUGUGAUCAAGUUCUAGUGUAGUUUUGGUUUUGAUUUCAGUAUUAGGAAAAUGAAGCCUAUGAAAUUUACCAAGCUAACAUGCUUCACAAAAGUGCUUUAAUACUUGACUAUGAAUACUUGAAGAGGAUAAAUGAGGAUAAAUAAAUUUAAAUAUACAUUAGAUUUUGAGGGUUGGGAUGUCAAAACUUUUGGUGAAAAAGAGUUAGUACAAGCAUUUUUAUUGAGAUUGAAAACAUUUCUUAAGAUGAUCAAUACUAGUUACAAAAUUGGAAUGAAAAAAAAAAGGCAACAUAGACAAAGGUUUGUUUAUUUGAUUGUAAGAUAGAAAAGACUUGUAUUUAGGUUGUGGAAAGGAUUUGAGCAGCAAUUUAUACAACCUUUUCUCAGCAAAACCUUCCUCUUCAAUGAAUCCUUCACAAAACAAAUAGAUCCAAGAAAUUCGACAAAUAAAUUGUUGUCAAUGGUAAGUUUUGAAAUGCUCAAUAGAUUCUUUGUAAUGGAUGGAACAAACAGUACAUCCUUAAGUAAAAUAUGUCUUAUAUUAUCUUUUUUUAAUUCUUUUUAAAAAAAUAAGUGAAUAAUAGUAUGUCAAUCUCAAAUAUCAAUAUGUACAAUUUUUAUUUGUGUAAGAAUUUGCAUCCAAUAAUCAUCAAUACAUAAUUGUCUUUUAAUUGAAUGGUUCUCACCUCCCUUCCAAACUUUGAAAAGGUAAAAUAAGAUCAAUCAUGUCAGUGGCAAUUAAUAUAAAGAUUACUUUUCUUAUUUGUAGUAACGUCCUCUGAUUAUUUAGCUGAUUUUCAAGCUACACAUUUAUUCCAUUUGAUGUUGAUAUUAGUAAAAUUAAUGUAAUAUUUAAAAAGGAAAAAAAUCCGUCGAGCUAAAAGCCGAGUAUAAAAUUGAACCAGACCCAAACCAGAAACGCACGCCAACAACAUGUUUGCGUCAGUCGGCCCAUGCCCAUAAACCCACCAAGCCCGAUCCAAAUAGAAAAAUGAAUUGGACACCCGAGAUAGCAGAAACAGAUAAGUAACGGUCGUGCUAUCCCCAAUCUCAUAUCUUCAACGGUAUCCAGCCAACAUCUCAAAGUGUUCAAUUUUUUUUUAAGCCAAAAAAAAAUUCAAAAUUUUCAAGCGGAAUCUGGGAAGAUAGCGAUGAAAAGCAAGAUUCUGGUUAUCGGCGGAACCGGAUACAUCGGUAAGUACUUAAGGUGCGUUUGAAAUUGAGGUUGAGCAACUAUAACUUUAAAACUGCAGCACUAAAAUAUUUGGUAAACACUAAUUGUUGUAACUUAAAAGCUAUUUAAUAUAAUUUUUCACUUGUAUAAUAAAAAAUUUAUUAUCUUUAAUAAUUUUGUCAAAAUUAUUAUUUAAAAUAUAUACAGUAAGAGAGAUUGUAACAUUUUCAAUCUUUGGUUUGAUAUUCUGGAAGAAAACGAUUUGCCGUUUAUGGAGAAAACUGCUAACCGUUUAAUUUCAGAGAGCAUGUUUUCUAUUCUAGAGAAAACGGCUAACCGUUUGGAGAAAACGGCUAACCGUUUGGAGAAAAUGGCUAACCGUUUGGAGAAAACGGCUAACCGUUUAAUUCCAGAGAGCAUGUUUUCUGUUCUAGAGAAAAUGACUAACCGUUUGGAUAAAACGGCCAACCAUUAAUUACAGAGAGCAACUUAUUUGACAUUCUGGAAUAAAACGGCUCACCGUUAUUGAGAAAACGGCUAACCGUUUAUUUCCAGAGAGCGUGUUUUUGCGUCAACUGGAAAAACGGUUAGCAAGCUUAGAAAUUUCAAUUGUCAAUCGAUGCAAACUCAAACCAAAAGAGUGUUUUUUUGAAGAAGUACUAUUUUUAAUGGUUGUAUUCUUUCAAAUAAACAUCUUCUUUAUUAAAGAUAGACAAACUAUUAUAUCAUAAUUAGAUUUUGCAGGUUUCAUAUAUGUUCUGGAAAUACAAUCUUAUUUUUUAGAGAUUGUAUUCAGGAUUUGAUAUAUCUUAGGGGUAAUUUGCCAUUAAAACUCUAUAGCAAACCAAGAUUGGUGAGGGUAAAUAAAACCUUAAAGAAAAAUGUGCAAACACGUCUCAAAUCCUAAGAAAUUUUCUUUGUUCUUUGCCUCCAUAUUCUUAAAAUUUGAAAAUUCACCCAUCAAUCUUUAAGGUUUUAUUUUGAUGCAAAUAGAGGCUGAGAAGAGUUUGACGUCAUUUCUUAAUCCUAGUGUCCAUCUCGAUCGUUUUGAUGGAACAAAUUUCACUCGUUGGAAGGAAAAAUUGUUCUUUCUUCUUACUGUUCUUAAAGUGGCAUAUGUUCUUAAUCCGAAAUUGGAACCAUUUCCAGAACCAAGGGAAGAUGAUACCGAAGUUGUUAAGGCUGUAAGGAAACGUCGUGAAGAUGAUGAAUUGAUGUGCCGGGGUCACAUACUCAAUACGCGUUCUGACAGGUUAUAUGAUCUCUACAAUUUUAUGACUUCUUCGAUGGAAAUUUGGAAUGCUCUUGAGUACAAAUACAAAACGGAGAAAGAAGGUACUGACAAAUUCCUUGUCUCUAAAUAUUUUGAAUUUAUUAUGGUAGACACACAAUCCAUUCUUGAUCAAAUACAUGAGUUAUAAAUUAUUGUUGCUAAGCUUCGAGAGUUAAAAGUUAAAAUUUCUGAAUCAUUUCAAGUUGGGACUAUUAUUGCUAAAUUGCCUCAAAGUUGGAAUGAUUAUAGAAAGAAACUCCUUCAUAGUAAAGAGAACAUAACUUUAGAAGAAUUGCAAAAACACUUGGUAAUUGAAGAAGAGACUAGGUCUCGCGAAUCCAAGGAUAAACAUGAUUCUACUAAAGUUAAUGUUCUUGAAGCUAGUAAAUUCUCAAAGAAUUUUAAAGUCAAGAAUGACAAGAAAUUUAAGAGGUCCAGCACACAAAAGUUUUCUGGAAAUUGUUUCUUUUGUGGUAAGAAAGGUCAUCGCCAAAGUGAUUGCAGAUUCAAGAAAAAAAAAGAAGAAGUGAAUUCCUAUAAAGCUAAUGUUAUUGAAAACAAAUCUGAAAAGAUUUGUGCUAUGGUUUCUGAAAUACAAAUUGGCAUGAUUAUCGAAACCAAUAUGGCUGAAACUAAGUCCUAUGAUUGGUGGCUCGAUUCGGGUACAACAAUUCAUGUUUGUAAUGAUAAGAAAUUUUUAUUAUCAUACAAAGAAGAAACGGAAGGACAAAUGGUUCUCAUGGGGAACAAUAAUGCAGCCAUAGUAGCAGGGAAAUGAGUAGUUGAGAUCAACUUCACUUCUAGAAAGAAAGUCACAUUGUAUAAUGUCUUUCAUGUACCUUCCGUUAGGAAGAAUCUUAUUUCUGCUAGUUGUAUGUGUAAGCAUGGGCUUAAGAUUGUGCUUGAGGGUAAUACUUGUAUUAUCUCAAAGAAUGAAUUAUUUGUUGGGAAAGGGUAUUCUUGUGAUGGAAUGUACAAACUCAACAUUAAUAAUAAUAAUAUCAACUUAGCUUAUAUUGUUGAGUCUUGUGAUGUUUGGCAUGCUAAAUUAGCACAUUUGAAUUUUAGAUCUUUGAAAUACAUGUCUGAGCAUGGUUUGAUUAAUUGCAAUGAUGUUAAAGGUCAUAAGUGUGAAAUCUGCAUCCAAGCUAAAUUAACUAAGAAACAUUUUCUUAAAGCCGAACGAAAUACUCAAAUAUUGGAUUUAAUAUAUACCGAUAUUUGUGAGUAUAAUGGCGUUUUAACAAGAGGAGGUAAGAAGUACUUUAUCCCUUUUAUUGAUGAUUGUUCUAGAUACACUUAUAUGUAUUUACUUAGAACAAAAAAUGAAGCUUUUGAUAAAUUUAAAAUUUUCAAAGCUGAAGUUGAGAACCAAAAAGAUAAGAAAAUCAAAAUGGUUCGUAGUGAUAGAGGUGGUGAAUAUUUCUCAAUUGAAUUUAAUAAUUAUUGUGAAGAAUUUGGAAUUAUUCACCAAAGAUCAGCUCCAUUUACUCCUCAACAAAGUGGUUUGGCUGAAAGAAAGAAUAGGAUCUUCACGGAUAUGAUAAAUUCCAUGAUCCAUAAUGCAAAACUACCAAAUAAUUUGUGGGGGGAAGCAUUACUCACUGCAUGUCAUAUUCAUAACAGAAUUACAUCUUUGAAAACACAUAUAUCUCUUUAUGAAAUUUGGAAAGGAAGAAAACCAAACUUGAUGUAUUUAAGGGUCUAGGGUUGUUUAGCUUUUUAUAAAAUACAUGAUCCUAAAUCAUCAAAGUUAAGUGCUAGAUGUAUAAAGAGUGUUUUCGUAGGAUAUGCUGAAAAUUCUAAGGCUUAUAGGUUGUUAGAUUUAGAUUAUAAUGUGAUUGUGGAAUCUAGAGAUGUUGAAUUUAUUGAGAAUAAAUUUCAACAUGAUUCUAAUAUUGAAUUAGAAUCAAUUAUUGAUCAACCAUGUGUUAAUACUCCUGUUACCUCCACUAACAAUAAUAAAAGGAAAGAGUCUAUGACAUCUUUCGAACCAAUGAGGAGUCAACGUGAAAAGAAAGAAAAGAGUUUAGCUCCGGAUUUUAUUUCAUCACAAGCACUACUCUUCUUGGUUGAAGGGGAUAGAAAGAAUGUACUUAACAAAGUACCAUUAUUGUUAAAUAUUGAAAAAGAUCCAAAGACAUUUAGCGAAGCUAUGUCUUCUAGAGACGCUUCUUUUUAGAGAGAGGCGGUAAAUGAUGAAAUUGAUUCGAUUAUUUCGAAUCAAACAUGGGUCUUGGUUGAUCUUCCUCCAGGAUCUAAACCAAUUAGCAGCAAAUGGGUAUUUAGAAGAAAGUACAAUAGUGAUGGUUCUUUGCACACUUUUAAGGCUAGAUUAGUAGCCAAAGGGUUUAAGCAAAGAAAUGGUAUUGAUUAUUUCGAUACAUAUGCUUCGGUAGCAAGGUUAACUUCUAUAAGAGUGCUAUUUGCAAUUGCUUCAUUGAACAAUUUGUAUGUGCAUCUAAUGGAUGUUAAAACCGCUUUUCUUAAUGGUGAUCUUGAUGAAGAAAUCUAUAUGGAACAACCUGAGGGAUUUGUUUUACCAGGAAAUGAGAAAAAAGGUAUGCAAAUUAGUCAAAUCACUUUAUGGUUUAAAGCAAGCACCAAAACAAUGGCAUGAGAAGUUUGAUUCGGUAAUUUUAUCUCAUGGUUUUAAGCAUAAUAAUGCUGAUAAAUGUAUAUAUUUUAAAUUUACGAAUGAUUUUGGUGUGAUUAUAUGCUUGUAUGUUGAUGACUUGCUUAUCUUUGGGACAAAUAUGCAAGGAGUAGAUGAUACAAAGAAGUAUUUAACUUCACAAUUUAAGAUAAAAGAUCUUGGUGAAGUAGAUACUAUCUUAGGUGUCAAAGUGAAGAAACAUAGUGAGGGUUACUCGUUGUGUCAAUCUCAUUAUAUAGAGAAAGUGCUUCUUAAAUUCAAUUAUUUGAAAUUUAAAGAAGCUAAUACCCCAUAUGAUUCUAGUAUUAAAUUAUUAGAGAAUUCAGGCCGAGUAGUAGCACAACUAGAAUAUGCUAGUGCUAUUGGUAGCUUGAUGUAUGCUAUGCAUUGUACGAGGCCUGAUAUAGCAUUUGCAGUUUGCAAAAUGUCAAGAUUCACGAGUAACCCUAGUGUUGAACACUGGAAAGCAAUUGGUAGAAUACUUGGUUAUCUUAAAAGGACCAUUCAUUUGGGUUUAUUUUAUAAUGAUUAUCCUGAAGUACUGGAAGGAUAUUCAGAUGCUAGUUGGGUAACCAAUACAAGAGAUAAUAAAUCCACUUCUGGUUGGAUUUUUACAAUUGUUGGAGGAGCAGUUUCCUGGGCUUCAAAGAAACAAACGUACAUAACUCAUUCAACAAUGGAAAGUGAGUUUAUAGCACUCGCAGUUGCAAGCAAGGAAGUAGAAUGACUGAGAAAUUUGUUGUUUGAUAUAAUGUUAUGGCCACAACCGAUGCCAUAUAUUUCUUUGUACUGCGAUAGUGAAGCUACAUUGUCUAGAGCUUAUAAUAAAGUGUAUAAUGGAAAGUCUAGACAUAUUAGCUUGAGACAUGAAUAUGUGAAACAAUUAAUAGCAGAUGGUGUUAUUAAUAUUGUUUAUGUUAGGACUAAUAAGAACCUAGCGGAUCCUUUAAUAAAAGGUCUUACAAGAGACUUAGUUAAGGAUACAUCUUUUGGAAUGGGAUUGAAACCUUUAAAUAAUAAAGUCACCAACGACGAUAACCCAACUAUGUAGUAGUUGUACCGCUACUCCAUAGUUAAAUGGAUAAUAACAAGUUGUUGUUAUGUGACUGGUUUGGCACCGAGUAAUAAAUAAUCACAUUCGAGAUAUUCGGUGCAAAUAGCUACGAGGUUGAGGUUGAGUAUUUAUUCUUAAUGAAGUUCAAGUCUUAUAGUAGCUAAAGACAUGAUUUGAAACUUCACCUAAGUGAACAUAAGAAAUGGUGCCGUUUCUAACAAGAUCAUGGUUUAAUCUAGUAAAUGUUCAUGAAUUCAAGAUAGAGCACAAGGCCGGAAUAGUGCUAAAUAUUGGAACACAACUUUGAAAAUCUGGGAUAGCUUAUAUGUGAUGUAUCUCCGGUAUUUACUUAAGAGACAAAGUUUAAUGCUUAGCACAUUAUUGUCUUGUAAAUGCUUUGAAAUACACUCACUAAUUAAAGGUUAAAAUCGAAAGAUAUCUUUUUGUAUGUAUAAGUUUAUCAUUAAUAAAUAUGAAAAAUAUUACAAUCUAGUGGGGGAUUGUAAGAGAGAUUGUAACAUUUUCAAUCUUUCGUUUGAUAUUCUGGAAGAAAACGGUUUGCCGUUUAUGGAGAAAACGGCUAACUGUUUAAUUCCAAAUAGCAUGUUUUCUGUUCUAGAGAAAACGACUAACUAUUUGGAGAAAAUGGCUAACUGUUUAAUUCUAGAGAGCAUGUUUUCUGUUCUAGAGAAAGCGGCUAACCGUUUGGAUAAAACGACCAACCGUUAAUUACAGAGAGCAACUUAUUUGACAUUCUGGAAUAAAACGGCUCACCGUUAUUGAGAAAACGGCUAACCGUUUAUUUCCAGAAAGCGUGUUUUUGCGUCAAUUGGAAAAACGGUUAGCAAGCUUGGAAAUUUCAAUUGUCAAUCGAUGCAAACUCAAACCAAAAGAGUGUUUUUUUGAAGAAGUACAAUUUCUAAUGGUUGUAUUCUUUCAAAUAAACAUCUUCUUUAUUAAAGAUAGACAAACAAUUAGAUCAUAAUCAGAUUUUGCAGGUUUCAUAUAUGUUCUGGAAAUACAAUAGAUCAUAAUCAGAUUUUGCAGGUUUCAUAUAUGUUCUGGAAAUACAAUCUUAUUUGCUAGAGAUUGUAUUCAUGAUUUGAUAUAUCUUGGGGGUAAUUUACCAUUAAAACUCUAUAGCAAACCAAGAUUGGUGAGGACAAAUAAAACCUUAAAGGAAAGUGUGCAAACACGUCUCAAAUCCUAAGAAUUGUUUUUUGUUCUUUGCCUCCAUAUUCUUAAAAUUCGAAAAUUCACCCAUCAUAUACAUACUACAUAUUAUUAACUUUUGUUUUAUAACUAUAGUGUUUUUUUUUUACCGCAACUGUAGUUUAAAAACUACAGCACCUCAAUCCCAAACAAGACCUUAGUGGAAGCGAGCGCAAAAGCCGAUCACCCAACAUUCGCGCUUGUGAGAGACUCCACUCUCUCCACUCAUUCCAAAUCCAAAAUCCUCGACCGUUUCAAAAAUCUCGGCGUCAAUUUAGUUCUUGUGCGCCACUCUUUUAGCUUUCCAAUUUUCCCGCCAAUUUUCUUUUAUUGUGAUUAAUUAAUUAAUUAAUUAAUUAAAGUAAAGAUUUUAUAUUAUAAUUUUGUUUGCAGGGAGAUCUAUACAGCCAUGAGAGCUUGGUGAGUGCAAUAAAGCAAGUGGAUGUUAAGGUAAUGAUUAACUUAAGUAAAUGCGUUAACUAAUUACUUGGGAUUUUAAAUUCAAAUGCGUGAAUUGUUCUAAAAAAUGAUUUAUGUUUAUUAGUCAGAGAUUCUUUCCUUCAGAAUUUGGAAAUGAUGUUGAUCGCGUGCAUGCCGUUGAGCCAGCAAGAACAUCAUUUGCCACCAAGGCUAAAAUCCGCCGAGCUGUUGAGGCUGAAGGAAUUCCAUACACCUACGUAGCUUCCAAUUUCUUCGCUGGUUUGUAUCUUUCCAGUUUCUCACAGCCUGAAGCCACAGCUCCUCCAAGGGAUAAAGUGGUCAUCGUAGGUGAUCGAAAUGCAAAAGGCAAAGCGCUUCUGGAUACAUUUACUCUGUACACGCAAUGUGUGGUUACUGUUUGGGGAUAAAAAAGGAGAUUAAUUAAUAAAGAAAAUGAAAUUAUUGAGGGAUUUGCUGAAGAGUUGCGUGCACUCCUCAUUUUUCUCCACCACUCAUCUUACUUGCAAAAUGCAAUGACCAAACUAUCCUCGCCAAAGCCUAGACAUUUACUUGUGUUCAAAGGCCAUUUAAGAGAGACAAGUACAAAAAAUUAUAAAGGAUAGUGAGCAAAAGAAGAAAAUGGAAGGAGGGGAGAAUAAAAAAUGGGAGUGGGGCGUUAUCUAGGGAGGAUUUUUAUUUUUAUUUUUUUUCCUCUCUUCUCCAUGGCAUCUCUUUCUCUCUUUCUCCCACUAAGAAAUUCUUUCUUUUACACUCUAUUUUACUUUUAUUCAAAUUACACAAAAAACUUUUGGUUUUAAGGCAAUGUUUAUUAAGCCACGUGAAUUUGAAAAAGCAGGAAUAAGGGGAUGAUUUUAACACAUUAAUUCACCAACAUUAAUUGGAAAAGAUCAGUUGCCACUUCGAAUCAGAGUAAUUUCUUCGGCAAUAGCCAAAUAUUGAUAUUUGAUCUUGACACUGUAGUUAAAUCAAUGUAACUGGUUUUGUCAUUUGAUCCCCAGUAAUUUUUAACAAGGAAGACGAUAUUGGAAUUAAUUCUAUCAAAGCGGUGGAUGAUCCGAGAACACUGAACAAAAUACUUUACAUCAGACCCCGUUGCAAUAUCUACUCAUUUAAUGAUCUUGUGUCUCUGUGGGAGGAAAAGAUUGGCAAAGCCCUUGACAGGGUCUAUGUUACAGAGGAACAACUUCUGAAAAACAUUCAAGGUUAGUUAGAACUAUCACUUUAUCAAGUGCAUAGAUGUAACUGACCGAUAAUGGAAUUUUUUUUCCUUCUCCAAAAUGCGAUAGAAUCUAAUCGGUUUCAACAAUCUCAAGAACACCUAUUCAUGGUUGUGUUGUUUGAAAUCUGUAUGUAUCAGUUUUCUUUCUAGAUCUCAGAUUGCUCGCAAGGAUGUCAAGUUUUGAUGAUGCUUGCCUGUUUUCCUGUGUUUACAGAAGCUUCAUAUCCACUCAAUAUGAUAUUACCUAUUGGGCACUCUGCCUAUGUCCUGGGAGAUCAGACCAACUUCGAAAUUGAACCUUCAUUUGGAGUAGAGGCAACAGAGCUUUAUCCAGAUGUCAACUACACUACUGUGGAUGAGUACCUCAACCAGUUCAUAUAAACCUUCUGAGAUGAGCAGCAGGAUCCUAACAAAAAAUUGGGUGGUUUCCAUCCCUGAUUCUAUGGUAUAAAGAUAGCGGCUUUCCCUGCUUUUGCCAGUUCAAUGAAGUUUGUUAGAUGAUGUUAUUUAUACUAUACUAGCAAAGAUCAAGUUGCCUUUCUUGUCAAGAAGCCAAGCUCUGGCAUUGGUUUAUGCUAGUUUUUCAUGUUUAUUACUUUUUUUGCAUUCAAAAUGAUAAAACUGCAGAGGUUGUUGCAUGCACGUCAUUUGUUAGUAGGGGUAUCAAUUUAUGAACGUAUGAAGUAUCUCUUCUGCAACGGCAUCCUCCUUAACUGUCAGUAGGAUCACAAUAAGUCGACCAACCAUCUACCGUAUGGAUUAUCUAUAAAUUGAAAUUGGUGUGUAUUAUGGAUCUGUCACUCUGCUGUUUCUGUUUUCUUUUCUAUUUUUACCAAGAAAGAAACAUUGUUAAAACUGAAUGGUUGUUAUCUCGUCUUGUUGUAAUGUUGUGUAUGCUUUCUAGAAAAUAAUGAAGUGCCAAAUAUGAAAAUACUAGUGGCUACCUUACCAUCCUUAAUAAGUUGUCUGAUUGUCACCGUCAACAAUCACUCUCAGCAACUCAUAAUCCAUUUAAGCAUAUUAUAAAAUAAUCAAUUUUGUAUUUGCACCAACUUUUAGUUUUAAAUGACAAUUUCGUUGAUCCCCACACUUCUGUACUAAUCAAAUCCACUGAAACUGGACUUUUUUUUCUUUUUUUUUAUAAUUACAUCGAUUGCAUUGGCUAUUGCAGGGAAAAGACUGCCUCUACAGGGAACUAAACUUUCAGAAUUGUUCUUAUGAGGGUUUGAAUAUGCUCUCGUACUAGGUCAAUGGCCUAUUGGUUCGAGACCAUUCACAAAGAAAGAAAUGAGUUUUGCUUGUAUAAAUGAAAGAAAUCCAAAUGAUAACUAAUGUAUAGUGGUACAUGAGAAAAAUAAUUUCAGCCCGUGUAAAGUCAAAAAGAGAAAAUAUUAAAAGAAAGGAUAAUGUCAUUGAGUUCGGUGAAGUGAAAGAAAAUGAAAAACAUGGGAUUUAGUCAAACUUAGUGUCCCAAUCAGCAGAAAAAGGUUUUAGAAACUCACCUCAAGUUAAGCCAACUAUUAGGAGCUUUAUUUAAUCAUGACUUUCUAAUGUAUAGUACUCCAAUACUAAACGAGGGCUACCUCUACGCUUGCAAUUGUAAAUGAAAUUGAGUUCGUGACGCACAAUGAAGUGAGCAAAAUGAGUUGAGAUCUGAGAAUAUAUUAAAGAAAAUAUGAAUCAAUGAAUUUUGGUUAAAAAAAACAAAUGCUGGUUCUUCAAGACCUGCGUGUAUUGUGUAAGUUUUGUUAGGAGAAGGAAAGCAUUUUGGUCUAAAACGCACUAAAUCGGAUUCAUUUGCUUGAUAUCUAAUAAGGGUGAAUUAACCACUCGCCCACAGCAAUUCAAGUCCCAAAAAAAUUAUUGUGGGGGCUAAAUUUCUUCUUUAAUUAUAACAAAUAAUUGAGUGGAGGAUAAAAAUUUAGGCCAUGUAUAACAAUAACUAAUAUAAACUAGUCCUAAUAAUAGUAUAAUUGUAAAUAUCAGUUGUAGUCUCAUACAAUAUAAGUUUAUAGAUUAUAAUAUCGGCAUAAAAAGAAAAAUGAUAUCUGACGGUCAAUCAAUAAAAGGACAAAAACUUGGAGUAACAUACCACAAAGUCAAUGUAGCUGGACAGAUGAAUAUAAUAUGUAAACAAAUUUAAAUGGGAUAAUACCAUACGGUACAUACAUAACAUUUUAAAACUGAAUUAAAAAAAUAAAAUUAAAACUGAAUUGGAAUUCGUAUGUGUAUCCAGCUACCUUGCAACAGUUGUAAGGUACCCUAACUUUGCAACAAUUUCAUCCUUCGUGCAUUCGGUCACAAAGUCCAAAUUAGGCACGUUUAAGAAUCGAACUGAAAAACUAAAAAAAAAGAAUCCGGCGAUAUUUGCGAACCGGAAACGAGCCAGCGUUAUGCUUAUGUCAUUUCAGAGAUAUCAACAGUCGUGCUUUCAGUCCUUAAACCUCAAGGGCAUUUUCGUCCUUUCACUCAAGCGUGAAACUGCAUGUAAGAACUGCUUCGCUUACACGCUCCAUGCACAUUUAAAGGCACCACUGUCGGAUAAAAAAUAUCCAUCCAUUUGAUCAUUUCAAAACAAAACGAAAAAAAAAAUCUCAGUAAUUGAACUGAACGAGUCUCAGAAAUGGCAUCGAAAAGUAAGAUUCUAUUCAUCGGCGGGACAGGGUAUAUCGGUAAAUUCACUGUCGAAGCGAGCGUAAAAGCCGGCCACCCGACGUUCGUGCUCGUGAGAGAAUCCACAAUCUCUGGUCCUUCCAAAUCUCAACUCCUCGAUCACUUCAAAAACCUCGGCGUCAAUCUUGUCAUAGUGCGUUUUCAUUUUUCUCUUUUCUUUAUUUUUUAUUCCGAUCAUUUUUACACGUCGAAGUGUAGCAUCUACUACUUAAUAUACAUAAUGAUAUUAUUAUUUUUUAAUUUUUUUGGGUUGCUGUUAUUAUUAUACAGGGAGAUGUGUUGAAUCACGAGAGUUUGGUGAAGGCGAUAAAACAAGUGGACGCGGUGAUAUCAACAGUUGGUCACACUUUAAUAGCCGAUCAGGUCAAGAUUAUUGCUGCCAUUAAAGAAGCCGGUAACGUUAAGGUAUGACAUAAUUAAUGUAAAUGUCUUAGAUUUCGAUCAGGAUUGUGCACUCGUGCACACGUGGUGAUUUAUUCUUCGUGUGGAGCUCGCUGUAGAGUAGAGCUCCCAGUUCCGCUAAUAAACACCCGUCAGAUGCGCAAUUGCGCCUCAAAAUAAUUUAAUUAAUUAAUUAGGUAUAAACACCGAUGGCAUGAAAGCAAUUAAAAUUAGUUGAUGUUUAUAAAUUAUUUAUUACUCAGAGAUUCUUACCAUCGGAAUUUGGAAAUGAUGUUGAUCGAGUCGAAGGCGCCGUAGAGCCAACAAAAUCGACGUAUGACGUAAAGGCGAAAAUCCGCCGAGCCGUUGAGGCAGAAGGCAUUCCGUACACUUACGUAGAAUCUUAUUGUUUUGAUGGGUAUUUCCUCCCCAAUUUGUUGCAGCCUGAGGCCACUGCCCCCCCUAGGGAUAAGGUUGUCAUCUUAGGCGAUGGAAAUCCAAAAGGUAAUAUAAUUUAAUUAAGCUCUGUUUGUUUGGUAUGUAUUGCGGUGUUAAUGUUAUUGUCUGUUGUACAAUGGAUGGUCUUGCUUGGUACUGUUGUUGGAGAGCUGCAGUGUUUUGAUAAACACCUCUAUAGUCUAUCCUUAUCCUUAGCUUUCAAGUUAAGUUGAUUUUAUACAACACUUGUUUAAUUAAAAACUUGUAAUAUUCUUACUACUUUGAUAAAAAAAAUAUUACGAUUAAAGUAUUAAUGGCACCAUAAUACGAAAUGAAUCUUAAGUGGUCAUUAUAGAUUUUAAGAUAGAGUUUUAAGUGAUUACCAGAUACUUUAGCUGCUGAACCGCCACAUCAUGGUUGCCACACAACAAUUUCAAACAGAACCUAAAUAACUUCAUUGCAAAACAGUUAAAUGAAUCUAACUUAGUUUCGUCGUUUGAUUUUCAGCUGUUUUUAACAAGGAAGAUGAUAUUGGAACCUACACUAUCAAAGCGGUUGAUGAUCCGAGAACCUUGAACAAAAACUUUUACAUUCAGCCUCCCGGUAAUAUUUACUCAUUCAAUGAUCUUGUGUCUCUGUGGGAGAGAAAGAUUGGUAAAACCCUCGAAAAGGAGUAUGUUUCAGAGGAGCAGCUCCUAAAGAAUAUUCAAGGUUGGUUAAAACUCUCUUUUUUAAAUGUAUUAAAGAGAGCCGUAUAUUCUCUGCCGUAAAUGUUAUUGAUCCUGUCUUCUCCAAAAUGUUGCAGAAGCUGCACCUCCACACAAUGUGAUAUUAUCAAUUUAUCACUCUGCUUUCGUGAAGGGAGUUCAAACCAACUUCAAGAUUGAACCAUCUUUUGGAGUUGAAGCCUCGCAGCUUUAUCCUGAUGUCAAGUACACUACAGUUGAUGAGUACCUCAAUCAGUUUGUGUAACCCUUCUCUGUUUCCAGCUGCAGCUUGCAGGAUCUUGGACUCUUGGUAAAUAAAUAAUUGGCUUGUUGCCAUCUUUGGUUUUAUAUGUAAAAAUUAUGGUUGUUGGCCUUACUUUCUUCUGGUUGUCCAUGGAAUUUGUUAGACCAUAUUAUGUUUGCUAUGUCAGUGAUCAAAUGAAGUAGGCCAUGUACUUGAUUUGAGAGUAGUAGUUAUAAAAAGCCAUCAUGAUCAGGUGGGUGCGUGGGUUGGGCUUCUAUUAGGGUGCGUGUGUUGGGCUUCAGGGGCUUGUGAUAUGGGUUCGACAGCCCCUAACGGGCAGUCAUUAUAAAAAUAAUUAUAGAGUUACAAAUCUAUGUAAAAAGCAAAAAUUAAAAGUAAUUUAUCAAUAAAAAUAAUUAAAAUUAAUAAAAAGUAGGUAUGAUAUUUCAGAAAUUAAAUUAAAGAUAGCAUUCUAAAGAGUUGGAUAAUCCUCCAACUAAACUAAAGAUCUAGUACAUUUGAGAGCAAAUUUAAUUAAAGAAAAGGAUAAGGAAAAACAAUAGAAUAAUAAUAUUAAAAAUUGCAAAUCUUGGUCUUUUUUUUUUACGAUGAUGUUGAUUUCUUAUAAAUUUAAUCUUAUCUAUAGAAUUAUUUAGUUACUGUAUGUCAAAAUUUCCUAUAAAGAUGAAGAAAAAUUAUAUUAGGAGAAGAUCCAAAUCCGUUUAACUGAUGCAUCAUCAACAACAUGAGUACAACAUUUUCGAAUAAACAAAAGAAACUCGUUUUAUGUGCGAACCAGUUCCAAAAUAAAGAGCAGACUAUUGGAAGGAGACAAAUACUACAAGAAGAACAAAACAUUCUACAGUUCCUACAUGAGCCCGCAACAAUUAAUUAUUAACUCGACAUUCAUUACACUUUUUCUUUAAUUUGACAAAGAAACCAAAAAUAAGAUAAAAUUGACUAAGAAAUAAAAAAAUGACCAAAAUCUUUUUGAAGUUUUGCCAGUUCAGCCAUGCACGCUUAUCUUUAUUCACUUGUUUCCUUUCUUUCCUGGAGCCUUCACAAAUCCUUUACCUUUCUGAGCCUUGCCAAUUUUCCCCUUCUUCAAACCACCUGGCCUUGCUGGAUCCACGUGUCCUUGCAUCCUUUUUCAUUCGUGGAUCAACAAGAAUCUCCCCCUUUCCAACUCUCUCUUGAACUCCUUUCUUUGCGACCAUGUAUUCUUUUGUAGGCCUUUUGGGUAUAGUUGUCUUGUAUAAUUGUUCAAUUUGAUUCCUCUUCGAACGAUCAGAGAUGUCCGCUUAGUCUAAUAUGACAUUUGCCUUCUUGCGAACCUUCUCAAGAUUUCGCAUGGCAACCCGUAUCUUUCGAGCUUUGGUCUUAGCCACCUUCUUGGCAAUAAGGGUGGGCGAUUCGGUUUUGGGAUAAACUUUUGGUUUCGUAUCGGUUUAGAUUCAAAAAUAGUAUAAAAAAAUAUUUAGAUUUUAUGGGAAAAAAUCUGAACCGAAACUGACCUAUCGAUUUCGUCUCGGUUUCAGUUUAGUUUCGAUUCUCCUAAUAGUUUUGUUUUGCCUUAUUGACUUCCGGUCAAGGACACUUUUGAAAAAUUUACAAACAAAAAAAAAUUGGCCAUAACAAAAUUUCUAUAUGUAAAUAUUUCCUAAACAUUGGGCUAUACUAAAUUUUUUUAAAAGGUAGGGAUCCAAACGAUAUUAUCCCUCUACUUCAUCUUCAACCUUCGUCACUUAGCAGCUACCACAGUAUCGAAAUGGAAAAACUAAAAAAGCACCGUAGGAUACGCAUAUCCACACAUAUCUAAUAAAACUAAAUAUUAUUAAUAAUUUAGUAUAGUAAUAAUAAAACAAGACAAACAUGAAAUUAGAAAAGACUAAAGAGCUUUUUAAGAAAAAAGCCAUUUAAAAAACGAAAAAUAGCAAGUUAUUUGGCUAGUUAACUGGCGACAGAAGUAAUGGAAAGAAGCAACAACGGCAGCGGCAGGUCAACAACGAAGAUUCAGCAGCACCGACCACCCACAGACUUGGAUUCGAUUGCAAAGUUGGGACUUAGGAUUUGGGUUUGUGGCUGCUGAAAUUGAAAGCGAGAGAGUAGAAAGUAGAGACUGAGAGUGGUGCAAACAUGUGUAAUUCUGUGUGUGUGUGUGUCUAUAUAUAUAUAUAUAUAUAUAUAUAUAUAUAUAUAUAUAUAUAUAAUGUGAAAUUAUAAAAAUGCCAUUAUAUCGGUUCGAUUCGAAUUUUGUAACUUGUGAUCCGAAAACUGAACCAAAUCGAAUCAUUUGGUUUGGUAUUUAUAUAUUCGGGUUUUUAAUUUAAAAAAAACUAAAUUAAAACUGAAAAAACCAGAACCGAAUUUUUUUUUUUUUUUUUGUUUCGGUUCAAUUCUGCCCAUCCCAACUUAGUAGGCUGGGCAUCAAUUUCUUUGAAUUGUGCUUUCAUUGCAGUAAUCUCCUCCUUGGUAAUAGGUUUAAUUGCUUACUGAUGCCUCAUUUCCUCUAGUAACAACUAGUCUAACAAGUCAUCAUCGUCAAACAUGUACCUAUUAUAAGCAUCAUCCAGAAUUUGCUCUCUUUGCAUUUUGCUUAGUGUCUUCUUUGCACAAGCUAAUAUCUCAGCUUUUUGUAUCAAUAUCUUUAUCUUUUGAUUCACCAGCGGAUGAAUCAUCACCGGAAUAGAGUGGUGAAGGCCCCAUAGAUCAGUGUGAUCAAGUUCUAGUGUAGUUUUGGUUUUGAUUUCAGUAUUAGGAAAAUGAAGCCUAUGAAAUUUACCAAGCUAACAUGCUUCACAAAAGUGCUUUAAUACUUGACUAUGAAUACUUGAAGACGAUAAAUGAGGAUAAAUAAAUUUAAGGCAAAUGUUAUGUUACAAUUAAUGUAACAUACACACUCAAUAACAACCACACAAAUUUUGUGGGCCCAUUAUUUGUGUGGUUGUUGUUGAGUGUGUAUGUUACAUUAAUUGUAACAUAGGGGCUCCCUAAAUUUAAAUAUGCAUUAGAUUUUGAGGGUUGGGAUGUCAAAACUUUUGGUGAAAAAGAGUUAGUACAAGCAUUUUUAUUGAGAUUUAAAACAUUUCUUAAGAUGAUCAAUGCUAGUUACAGAAUAGGAAUGAAAAAAAAAGGCAACAUAGACAAAGGUUUGUUUAUUUGAUUGUAAGAUAGAAAAGACUUGUAUUUAGGUUGUGGAAAGGAUUUGAGCAGCAAUUUAUACAACCUUUUCUCAGCAAAACCUUCCUCUUCAAUGAAUCCUUCACAAAACAAAUAGAUCCAAGAAAUUUGACAAAUAAAUUGUUGUCAAUGGUAAGUUUUGAAAUGCUUAAUAGAUUCUUUGUAAUGGAUGGAACAAACAAUACAUCCUUAAGUAAAAUAUGUCUUAUAUUAUCUUUUUUUUUAAUUAUUUUUAAAAAAUAAGUGAAUAAUAGUAUGUCAAUCUCAAAUAUCAAUAUGUACAAUUUUUAUUUGUGUAAGAAUUUGCAUCCAAUAAUCAUCAAUACAUAAUUGUCUUUUAAUUUAAUUGUUCUCACCUCCCUUCCAAACUUUGAAAAGGUAAAAUAAGAUCAAUCAUGUCGGUGGCAAUUAAUAUAAGGAUUACUUUUCUUAUUUGUAGUAACGUCCUCUGAUUAUUUAGCUGAUUUUCAAGCUACACAUUUAUUCCAUUUGAUGUUGAUAUUAGUAAAAUUAAUGUAAUAUUUAAAAAGGAAAAAAAUCCGUCGAGCUAAAAGCUGAGUAUAAAAUUGAACCCGACCCAAACCAGAAACGCACGCCAACAGCAUGCUUGCGUCAGUCGGCCCAAGCCCAUAAACCCACCAAGCCCAAUCCAAAUAGAAAAAUGAAUUGGAUGCCCGAGAUAGCACAAACAGAUAAGUAACGCUAGCGCUAUCCCCAGUCUCAUAUCUUCAACGGUAUCCAGCCAACAUCUCAAAGUGUUCAAUUUUUUUUUGAAGCUAAAAAAAAAAUUCAAAAUUUUCAAGUGGAAUCUGGGAAGAUGGCAACAAAAAGCAAGAUUCUGGUUAUCGGCGGAACCGGAUACAUAGGUAAGUACUUAAGGUGCGUUUGAAAUUGAAGUUGGACAGGUAUAACUUUAAAACUGCAGCACUAAAAUGUUUGGUAAACACUAACUAUUGUAACUUAAAAACUAUUUAAUAUAAUUUUUCACUUGUAUAAUAAAAAAUUUAUUAUAUCUUUAAUAAUUUUAUCAAAAUUAUUAUUUAAAAUAUAUACAUACUACAUAUUAUUAAUUUUUGUUUUAUAACUAUAAUUUUUUUCCUACCGCAACUGUAAUUUAAAAACUACAGCACCUCAAUCCCAAACAAGACUUUAGUGGAUGCGAGCGCGAAAGACGAUCACCCAACAUUUGCGCUUGUGAGAGACUCCACUCUCUCCACUCCUUCCAAAUCCAAAAUCCUCGACCGUUUCAAAAAUCUCGGCGUCAAUUUAGUUCCUGUGCGCCACUCUUUUAGCUUUCCAUUUUUCCUGCCAAUUUUCUUUUAUUGUGAUUAAUUAAUUAAUGUAAAGAUUUUAUAUUAUAAUUUUGUUUUCAGGGAGAUCUAUACAGCCAUGAGAGCUUGGUGAGUGCAAUAAAGCAAGUGGAUGUGGUGAUAUCAGCGAUAGGUCGCACUCAAUUAGCUGAUCAACUCAACAUUAUCGCAGCAAAUUGCGAUAACUAAUUACUUGGGAUUUUAAAGAAGCUGGAAAUGUUAAGGUACUGAUUAACUUAAGUAAAUGCGUUAACUAAUUACUUGGGAUUUUAAAUUCAAAUGCGUGAAUUGUUCUAAAAAAUGAUUUAUGUUUAUUAGUCAGAGAUUCUUUCCUUCAGAAUUUGGAAAUGAUGUUGAUCGCGUGCAUGCCGUUGAGCCAGCAAGAACAUCAUUUGCCACCAAGGCUAAAAUCCGCCGAGCUGUUGAGGCUGAAGGAAUUCCAUACACCUACGUAGCUUCCAAUUUCUUCGCUGGUUUGUAUCUUUCCAGUUUCUCACAGCCUGGAGCCGCAGCUCCUCCAAGGGAUAAAGUGGUCAUCGUAGGUGAUGGAAAUGCAAAAGGCAAAGCGCUUCUGGAUACAUUUACUCUGUACACGCAGUGUGUGGUUACUGUUUAGGGAUAAAAAAGGAGAUUAAUUAAUAAAGAAAAUGAAAUUAUUGAGGGAUUUGCUGAAGAGUUGCGUGCACUCCUCAUUUUUCUCCACCACUCAUCUUACUUGCAAAAUGCAAUGACCAAACUAUCCUCGCCAAAGCCUAGACAUUUGCUUGUGUUCAAAGGCCAUUUAAGGGAGACAAGUACAAAAAAUUAUAAAGGAUAGUGAGCAAAAGAAGAAAAUGGAAGGGGGAGAGUAAAAAAGGGGAGUGGGGCGUUAUCCAGGGAGGAUUUUUAUUUUUAUUUUUUUCCUCUCUUCUCCAUGGCAUCUCUUUCUCUCUUUCUCCCACUAAGAAAUUCUUUCUUUUACACUCUAUUUUACUUUUCUACAAAUUACACAAAAAGCUUUUGGUUUUAAGGCAAUGUUUAUUAAGCCACAUGAACUUGAAAAAGCAUGAAUAAGGGGAUGAUUUUAACACAUUAAUUCACCAACAUUAAUUGGAAAAGAUCAGUUGCCACUUCGAAUCAGAGUAAUUUCUUCGGCAAUAGCCAAAUAUUGAUAUUUGAUCUUGACACUGUAGUUAAAUGAAUGUAACUGGUUUUGUCAUUUGAUCCCCAGCAUUUUUUUAACAAGGAAGACGAUAUUGGAAUCAAUUCUAUCAAAGCGGUGGAUGAUCCAAGAACACUGAACAAAAUACUUUACAUCAGACCCCGUUGCAGUAUCUACUCAUUCAAUGAUCUUGUGUCUCUGUGGGAGGAAAAGAUUGGCAAAGCCCUUGACAGGGUCUAUGUUACAGAGGAACAACUUCUGAAAAACAUUCAAGGUUAGUUAGAACUAUCACUUUAUUCGUUACUGAUGACAACACAUGGAGAAAUUUUCCUUGGUCUUAUCAAGUGGAUAGAUGUAACUGACCGAUAAUGGAAAAUUUUUUCCUUCUCCAAAAUGCGAUAGAAUCUAAUCGGUUUCAACAAUCUCAAGAACAUCUAUUCAUGGUUGUGUUGUUUGAAAUCUGUAUGUAUCAGUUUUCUUUCUAGAUCUCAGAUUGCUCGCAAGGAUGUCAAGUUUUGAUGAUGCUUGCCUGUUUUCCUGUGUUUACAGAAGGCUCAUAUCCACUCAAUAUGAUAUUAUCUAUUGGGCACUCUGCCUAUGUCCUGGGAGAUUAGACCAACUUCGAAAUUGAACCUUCAUUUGGAGUAGAGGCAACCGAGCUUUGUCCAGAUGUCAACUACACUACUGUGGAUGAGUACCUCAACCAGUUCAUAUAAACCUUCUGAGAUGAGCAGCAGGAUCCUAACCAAAAAUUGGGUGGUUUCCAUCCCUGAUUCUAUGGUAUAAAGAUAGCGGCUUUCCAUGCUUUUGCCAGUUCAAUGAAGUUUGUUAGAUGAUGUUAUUUAUACUAUACUAGCAAAGAUCAAGUUGCCUUUCUUGUCAAGAAGCCAAGCUCUGGCAUUGGUUUAUGCUAGUUUUUCACACUAAUAUUGGUAUUCACUAAUUUUUUUUUUUUCAUUUCACACCUCCAUCAUCAGUUGAGAUACCCUCUUGUAUGGUACUAACUUUGAUUUUCCUUAUGCUUCACUUGCUGUCUCUGCAGAUUCGUAAAAGAUCAUUCAUGGAUAAGAUCAGAACAUCAAUGUAAUACAGUAUGCAUUGAGAACUCCCACAUGAGUCUUGUUCUAGUUCUCGUUAGACAUGAAACAUGUUACAGUUCCAUAACUUGAGACAUUGUCAUUCAACAAUUAUCAUCGCAUUAAAACAGUGGCCAAUCCCUAACAGCUACCUUUUGACUCUUCACAUUUUUUUUCUGCAUUUUAUGCGCAUUAAUUAUCCAGACCUAGACUUACUCUUCUCAGCUUGGCCCGUUGGACAGUGAGUGAUGAAACAGAAAAUUUUUCAUGUUUAUGAAUGUAUGAAGUAUCUCUUCUGCACUGCACCGGCAUCCUCCUUAACUGUCAGUAGGAUCACAAUAAGUCGACCAACCAUCUACCGUAUGGAUUAUCUAUAAAUUGAAAUUGGUGUGUAUUAUGGAUCUGUCACUCUGCUGCUUCUGUUUUCUUUUCUAUUUUUACCAAGAAAGAAACAUUGUUAAAACUGAAUGGUUGUUAUCUCGUCUUGUUGUAAUGUUGUGUAUGCUUUCUAGAAAAUAAUGAAGUGCCAAAUAUGAAAAUACUAGUGGCUACCUUACCAUCCUUAAUAAGUUGUCUGAUUGUCACCGUCAACAAUCACUCUCAGAAACUCAUAAUCCAUUUAAGCAUAUUAUAAAAUAAUCAAUUUUGUAUUUGCACCAACUUUUAGUUUUAAAUGACAAUUUCGUUGAUCCCCUCACACUUCUGUACUAAUCAAAUCCACUGAAACUGGACUUUUUUUUUUUUUUUUUUAUAAUUACAUCGAUUGCAAUGGCUAUUGCAGGGAAAAGACAGCCUCUACAGGGAACUAAACUUUCAGAAUUGAUCUUAUGAGGGUUUGAAUAUGCUCUCGUACUAGGUCAAUGGCCUAUUGGUUCGAGACCAUUCACAAAGAAAGAAAUGAGUUUUGCUUGUAUAAAUGAAAGAAAUCCAAAUGAUAACUAAUGUAUAGUGGUACAUGAGAAAAAUAAUUUCAGCCCCUGUGUAAAGUCAAAAAGAGAAAAUAUUAAAAGAAAGGAUAAUGUCAUUGAGUUCGGUGAAGUGAAAGAAAAUAAAAAACAUGGGAUUUAGUCAAACUUAGUGUCCCAAUCAGCAGAAAAAGGUUUUAGAAACUCACCUCAAGUUAAGCCAACUAUUAGGAGCUUUAUUUAAUCAUGGCUUUCUAAUGUAUAGUACUCCAAUACUAAACGAGGGCUACCUCUACGCUUGCAAAUGUAAAUGAAAUUGAGUUCGUGACGCACAAUGAAGUGAGCAAAAUGAGUUGAGAUCUGAGAAUAUAUUAAAGAAAAUAUGAAUCAAUGAAUUUUGGUUAAAAAAAACAAAUGCUGGUUCUUCAAGACCUGCGUGUAUUGUGUAAGUUUUGUUAGGAGAAGGAAAGCAUUUUGGUCUAAAACGCACUAAAUCGGAUUCAUUUGCUUGAUAUCUAAUAAGGGUGAAUUAACCACUCGCCCACAGCAAUUCAAGUACCCAAAAAAGUUUUGUGGGGGCUAAAUUUCUUCUUUAAUUAUAACAAAUAAUUGAGCGGAGGAUAAAAAUUUAGGCCAUGUAUAACAAUAACUAAUAUAAACUAGUCCUAAUAAUAGUAUAAUUGUAAAUAUCAGUUGUAGUCUCAUACAAUAUAAGUUUAUAGAUUAUAAUAUCGGCAUAAAAAGAAAAAUGAUAUCUGACGGUCAAUCAAUAAAAGGACAAAAACUUGGAGUAACAUACCACAAAGUCAAUGUAGCUGGACAGUGAAUAUAAUAUGUAAACAAAUUUAAAUGGGAUAAUACCAUACGGUACAUACAUAACAUUUUAAAACUGAAUUAAAAAAAUAAAAUUAAAACUGAAUUGGAAUUCGUAUGUGUAUCCAGCUACCUUGCCACAGUUGUAAGGUACCCUAACUUUGCAACAAUUUCAUCCUUCGUGCAUUCGGUCACAAAGUCCAAAUUAGGCACGUUUAAGAAUCGAACUGAAAAACUAAAAAAAAGAAUCCGGCGAUAUUUGCGAACCGGAAACGAGCCAGCGUUAUGCUUAUGUCAUUUCAGAGAUAUCAACAGUCGUGCUUUCAGUCCUUAAACCUCAAGGGCAUUUUCGUCCUUUCACUCAAGCGUGAAACUGCAUGUAAGAACUGCUUCGCUUACACGCUCCAUGCACAUUUAAAGGCACCACUGUCGGAUAAAAAAUAUCCAUCCAUUUGAUCAUUUCAAAACAAAACGAAAAAAAAAAUCUCAGUAAUUGAACUGAACGAGUCUCAGAAAUGGCAUCGAAAAGUAAGAUUCUAUUCAUCGGCGGGACAGGGUAUAUCGGUAAAUCCACUGUCGAAGCGAGCGUAAAAGCCGGCCACCCGACGUUCGUGCUCGUGAGAGAAUCCACAAUCUCUGGUCCUUCCAAAUCUCAACUCCUCGAUCACUUCAAAAACCUCGGCGUCAAUCUCGUCAUAGUGCGUUUUCAUUUUUCUCUUUUCUUAAUUUUUUAUUCCGAUCAUUUUUACACGUCGAAGUGUAGCAUCUACUACUUAAUAUACAUAAUGAUAUUAUUAUUUUUUAAUUUUUUUGGGUUGCUGUUAUUAUUAUGCAGGGAGAUGUGUUGAAUCACGAGAGUUUGGUGAAGGCGAUUAAACAAGUGGACGUGGUGAUAUCAACGGUCGGUCACACUUUAUUAGCUGAUCAGGUCAAGAUUAUUGCUGCCAUUAAAGAAGCCGGUAACGUUAAGGUAUAACAUAAUUAAUGUAAAUGUCUUAGAUUCCGAUCAGGAUUGUGCACUCGCGAACACGUGGUGAUUUAUUCUUGGUGUGGAGCUCGCUGUAGAGUAGAGCUCCCAGUUCAGCUAAUAAACACCCCGUCACAUGCGCAAUUGCGCCUCAAAAUAAUUUAAUUGAUUAAUUAAGGAUAAAUACCAAUGGCAUGAAAGCAAUUAAAAUUAGUUGAUGUUUAUAAAUUAUUUAUUACUCAGAGAUUCUUACCAUCGGAAUUUGGAAAUGAUGUUGAUCGAGUUGAAGGCGCCGUAGAGCCAACAAAAUCGACGUAUGACGUAAAGGCGAAAAUCCGCCGAGCCGUUGAGGCAGAAGGCAUUCCGUACACUUACGUAGAAUCUUAUUGUUUUGAUGGCUAUUUCCUCCCCAAUUUGUUGCAGCCUGAGGCCACUGCCCCCCUAGGGAUAAGGUUGUCAUCUUAGGCGAUGGAAAUCCAAAAGGUAAUAUAAUUUAAUUAAGCUCUGUUUGUUUGGUAUGUAUUUCGGUGUUAAUGUUAUUGUCUGUUGUACAAUGGAUGGUCUUGCUUGGUACUGUUGUUGGAGAGCUGCAGUGUUUUGAUAAACACCUCUAUCCUUAGCUUUCAAGUUAAGUUGAUUUUAUACAACACUUGUUUAAUUCAAAACUUGUAAUAUUCUUACUACUUUGAUAAAAAAUAUUACGAUUAAAGCAUUAAUGGCACCAUAAUACGAAAUGAACCUUAAGUGGUCAUUAUAGAUUUUAAGAUAGAGUUUUAAGUGAUUACCAGAUACUUUAGCUGCUGAACCGCCACAUCAUGGUUGCCACACAACAAUUUCAAACAGAGCCUAAAUAACUUCAUUGCAAAACAGUUAAAUGAAUCUAACUUAGUUUCGUCGUUUGAUUUUCAGCUGUUUUUAACAAGGAAGAUGAUAUUGGAACCUACACUAUCAAAGCGGUUGAUGAUCCGAGAACCUUGAACAAAAACUUUUACAUUCAGCCUCCCGGUAAUAUUUACUCAUUCAAUGAUCUUGUGUCUCUGUGGGAGAGAAAGAUUGGUAAAACCCUCGAAAAGGAGUAUGUUUCAGAGGAGCAGCUCCUAAAGAAUAUUCAAGGUUGGUUAAAACUCUCUUUUUUUAAAUGUAUUAAAGAGAGCCGUAUAUUCUCUGCCGUAAAUGUUAUUGAUCCUGUCUUCUCCAAAAUGUUGCAGAAGCUGCACCUCCACACAAUGUGAUAUUAUCAAUUUAUCACUCUGCUUUCGUGAAGGGAGUUCAAACCAACUUCAAGAUUGAACCAUCUUUUGGAGUUGAAGCCUCGCAGCUUUAUCCUGAUGUCAAGUACACUACAGUUGAUGAGUACCUCAAUCAGUUUGUGUAACCCUUCUCUGUUUCCAGCUGCAGCUUGCAGGAUCUUGGACUGUUGGUAAAUAAAUAAUUGGCUUGUUGCCAUCUUUGGUUUUAUAUGUAAAAAUUAUGGUUGUUGGCCUUACUUUCUUCUGGUUGUCCAUGGAAUUUGUUAGACCAUAUUUUGUUUGCUAUGUCAGUGAUCAAAUGAAGUAGGCCAUGUACUUGAUUUGAGAGUAGUAGUUAUAAAGCCAUCAUGAUCAGGUGGGUGCGUGGGUUGGGCUUCUAUUAGGGUGCGUGUGUUGGGCUUCAGGGGCUUGUGAUAUGGGUUCGACAGCCCCUAACGGGCAGUCAUUAUAAAAAUAAUUAUAGAGUUACAAAUCUAUGUAAAAAGCAAAAAUUAAAAGUAAUUUAUCAAUAAAAAUAAUUAAAAUUAAUAAAAAGUAGGUAUGAUAUUUCAGAAAUCAAAUUAAAGAUAGCAUUCUAAAGAGUCGGAUAAUCCUCCAACUAAACUAAAGAUCUAGUACAUUUGAGAGCAAAUUUAAUUAAAGAAAAGGAUAAGGAAAAACAAUAGAAUAAUAAUAUUAAAAAUUGCAAAUCUUGGUCUUUUUUUUUUACGAUGAUGUUGAAUUCUUAUAAAUUUAAUCUUAUCUAUAGAAUUAUUUAGUUACUGUAUGUCAAAAUUUCCUAUAAAGAUGAAGAAAAAUUAUAUUAGGAGAAGAUCCAAAUCCGUUUAACUGAUGCAUCAUCGACAACAUGAGUACAACAUUUUUGAAUAAACAAAAGAAACUCGUUUUAUGUGCGAACCAGUUCCAAAAUAAAGAGCAGACUAUUGGAAGGAGACAAAUACUACAAGAAGAACAAAACAUUCUACAGUUCCUACAUGAGCCCGCAACAAUUCAUUAUUAACUCGACAUUCAUUACACUUUUUCUUUAAUUUGACAAAGAAACCAAAAAUAAGAUAAAAUUGACUAAGAAAUAAAAAAAUGACCGAAAUCUUUUUGAAGUUUUGCCAGUUCAGCCAUGCACGCUUAUCUUUAUUCACUUGUUUCCUUUCUUUCCUUUCUUUGCUGAAGCCUUCACAGAUCCUUUACCUUUCUGAGCCUUGCCAAUUUUCCCCUUCUUCAAACCACCUGGCCUUGCUGGAUCCACGUGUCCUUGCAUCCUUUUUCAUUCGUGGAUCAACAAGAAUCUUCCCCUUUCCAGCUCUCUCUUGAACUCCUUUCUUUGGGACCAGUAUUCUUUUGUCGGCCUUUUGGGUAUAGUUGUCUUGUAUAAUUGUUCAAUUUGAUUCCUCUUCGAACGAUCAGAGAUGUCCGCUUAGUCUGAUAUGACAUUUGCCUUCUUGCGAACCUUCUCAAGAUUUCGCAUGGCAACCCGUAUCUUUCGAGCUUUGGUCUUAGCCACCUUCUUGGCAGUAUGGGUGGGCGAUUCGGUUUUGGGAUAAACUUUUGGUUUCGUAUCGGUUUAGAUUAAAAAAUAAUAUAAAAAAAUAUUUAGAUUUUAAGAGAAAAAAUCCGAACCGAGACUCACCUAUCGAUUUCGGCUCGGUUUCAGUUCAGUUUUGAUUCUCCUAAUAGUUUUAUUUUGCCUUAUUGACUUCCGGUCAAUGACACUUUUGAAAAAUUUACCAAAAAAAAAAAAAAUGGCCAUAACAAAAUUUCUAUAUGCAAAUAUUUCCUAAACAUUAGGCUAUACUAAAUUUUUUUAAAAGGUAGGGACCCAAACGAUAUUAUCCCUCUACUUCAUCUUCAACCUUCGUCAUUAGGGAUGGCAAAAUCCGAGUUCGGGUCCGGGUUUAGCCAUUUGGGAUCCGGACCCGGAUGAAUAUUUUUUGUACCAGACCCGAAAAUAAACCCGCAUUUUUCCACUUCGAGUCCGGUACGGGUUCAACCCGAAAAAAUUCGGGUUCCCUGACUGCGGGUUUCCAACUCGGAUUAAUGAAUCCAAUUGAAAAAAAAAAACUAAAUUCAACAAAAAAAAUCAAAUAGAAAUACAUAUCCAGGAUUUCAGCAAAUCAAAGAAAAAUUAUUUCAUCUGGAAACUAAUUAACAAAAACAACAAUUUUGUUUGGCUGCCCAGAAUCAGCAACCCAAUGUGGCGGCUCGUUCAAAACAUUAGUGUUUUCAACAGAUUUUGGGGUAGGAAAAGCCAAACCUAUCUAGAACAAUGAAUUUGUAUUUUUGGGGGAGAUGAGGUACCUCACUGGUUUGUUGUGUGCGGUGCAGUGUAUCUUAAAUUUGGGGGAUGUGAGAAGGGGAGAGGGAGUGGUAAUAAUGGUGAAAGGUCAAAACCAAUAGAGAUGUCCUUCAAAAUGAGCUUCACACCUGUAAAACAGUGAAAUAAAGGUUAGAGGUGAAGCUGGGGUAUCCCGGUGUUCACACUCCGACGCUCAAGUUAGCAAACUCAAGCUUUUAUGACAAAGAGAACUGGCUAGCCCUCUGUAAAUUAGGGUUUAAGGUUCAAGGAAACCUAUUUUUUGGAAUGUGAGUGUUAAUGGUGAGUGAGAGACCUCUUGGAGAAUGAAACCUAUGCGCCUUUAUAUAUGGAGUACCUCAGCUGCCACGUGACGUACCCUUUUUGGCUAACGUCAUUUUUCAUUUUUAUGAUUUUUGGGUCGUUAUGUUCAUGUUCGCGGGGUAUCUCAUCUUUUAGAAACGUGGCGCGCGCUGGAGAGUGGUCCAGGGUACCUCUGCAGUAGCUGUCGGGUAGGCGGCUGAGGACCACUGUCCUUGGGACAGUGUCUUUCACUUUUGGUAAAGGUGACAGGCGGUUGUCCUCCCUUUUAACACGACAUUUUUUAUUCCUAAUUAUGACAAAAUCGAAUAAUAUCUUUUAAGAGAUGGAGACGUUUCUCAUGGUGGAUAUUUUCGGAAGAUUCUCUUGCAUCUGAUCAGCCGGGUUCCUCCAGUUACGCAGGGUACCUCAAUUUAUGUGGGGUACCUCUAAUUUUAUGGGGUACCACUAUUUGCGCAGGGUACCUUGAAUCAUGCCAAGUACCUUAGAUUAUGCGGAGUACCUCUAAUUGUGCGGGAUACCUCUAUUGCGCUAGGUACCUUGAAUCAUGCCGGGUACCUCAGAUUGUGCGGGGUAUCUCUAUUUGCGCAGGGUACCUUGAAUCAUGCUGGGCACCUCAGAUUGUGUGGGGUACCUUGAGUCAUGCGAGGUACCUCUAAUCAGGCCAGGUACCCUCUAAUUGUGCUGAGUACCUAUAAUCAUGCAGGGUACCUCUAAUCAAGCCGGGUACCUUUAAUCAUGCGGGGUACCUCUAAUCAGGCCGGGUACCUUAGAUUGUGCGGGGUACCUCUAUUUGCGCAGGGUACCUUGAAUCAUGCAGGGUAUCUCAGAUUGUGCGGGGUACCUCAAAUUGUGUGGGGUACUUCUAAUCGUGCGGGGUACCUCUAAUCAUGUCGGGUACCUCGGAUUGCACUGAAGUUAUUCCAUUCGUUGACACGUGGCGUUAUGCUAUCUUUCUUAUUUUUCCCCCAAACAACAUCCCUCUAGUUUCUUUUGGCAAGAAGUUUUGGAGGCAAAAGAAACUUACAUAAAAAGUAGAAGCGACACGUGGCGAUAUGAUGUUUAGCUCGAUGGGUAACUAAAUAGAGGGCGCCUUUAGGGGUACCCUGAGAACCCAAAAAGGGAAGAUGGGCUCCAUUUCCUCGGAAAUGGCUACCACUUUGGACAUGUUGGAAAGGAUAGAGCUAAUUGAUCAAAAAAAUUUCAUCUAUUUCUAGGGAAGAACACCAAAUACGGGUAGAGGGUAUCGUUAGGGUACCCCACCAUUACCCAUAGUUUGUUUUCUAGUGACUGCCAUGUAUAAAUCGCUCUGGUGAAGGCUUCAAUACAUUCUUUGGGCAUUUAAGAAGCAAUUAUUUGAUUAUCUCGGGAUCCACCUUAUUUAAGGGUAUAUUUCCUUCAUGUACUUUGAAGACAAAAAUAAAAUCACAGGGCUUUCUUCCUUGUAACUUCAGAGGUACCCUCGACAGAAGAAUAUAGUCAACAAUGCUUUUAAGCGUAUCAUGAUCGAGGAAUGGAGUGCUGAUCUGGGGUUGGUGGUGCCAAGAGUGGAGAAGAUGGUAGAUGAACCGGCUAUCUUGAAGGCGAUUAACGAUAGCGGGGCUCUCAACACAUCUUGGUCUGAAGGGGUAAUGCAAAUAAGUUUACGUUGAUUGGAUAUUCAGAAGAAGUAAUACGCCAUUAAAAGCAACAAGUUUUCCAAAAAGCCAACAAAGACAGACACCACCACACCACCCCGCGCUGGAUGAAAAACGAUGAAAGCAUGAUAAGUGACAUCGAGUAAGCCACGUUCUCUCUCUCUCUCUCACUCGCACUCGCACUCGCACUCGCACUCGCACUCGCACACACUGUUACUAAAAUAACCAAAAAUAAGAUUCCCAUCAAAAUAUUUUCAAGUAUCGUUCUUGAAAGUGGCGGCGGCUGAUGAUGAUGAACACAGCCGCGAUUGCGAUUGGCGAAGGCGGCGUUCAGCCCGUAUCACAGCUAGUUAUCGGUCGUGGCAGAAAAGAUAAUGAAACGACGGCUGAUGAUGAUAAUGAUGAUGUUGAACAGCCGCAAAUAUGGGUAAGUGAUGCGACGAUGAUUUGAUGAAGAUGAAGAUGAGCUGAAGAUGGAAUAAGAGUGGAAAUGUUUGUGCGGCUGGGAAAGUGUAAUGAGCUGCUAGGGCACCAUUUGGGUUUUUUUGCUUUCCUAUUUAUAUUAAAAAUAAUUUUUAAAAAUUAAUAUAUAUCCGGGUUCGGGUUUUGGAUGUACGGGUUUACCUAGACCCGGACACAUGCGGAUUCAGCAGCACCGACCACCCACAGACUUGGAUUCGAUUGCAAAGUUGGGACUUAGGAUUUGGGUUUGUGGCUGCUGAAACAGAAAGUGAGAGAGUAGAAAGUAGAGACUAAGAGUGGUGCAAACAUGUGUAAUUUUGUGUGUGUGUCUAUAUAUAUAUAUAUAAUGUGAAAUUACAAAAAUGCCAUUAUAUCAGUUCAAUUCGAAUUUUGUAACUUGUGAUCCAAAAACUGAACCAAACCGAACCAUUUGGUUUGGUUUUUAUAUAUUCAGGUUUUUAAUUUAAAAAAACUAAAUUGAAAUUGAAAGAACUAAACCGAACCGAAUUUUUUUUUUUUUUUUGUUUCGGUUCAAUUAUGCCCAUCCCUACUUAGUAGGCUGGGCAUUAAUUUCUUUGAAUUGUGCUUUCAUUGCAGUAAUCUCCUCCUUGGUAAUAGGUUUAAUUGCUUGUUGAUGCCUCAUUUCCUCUAGUAACAACUAGUCUAACAAGCCAUCAUCGUCAAACAUGUACCUAUUAUAAGCAUCAUCCAGAAUUUGCUCUCUUUGCUUUUUGCUUAGUGUCUUCUUUGCACAAGCUAUUAUCUCAGCUUUUGUAUGAAUAUCUUUAUCUUUUGAUUCACCAGAGGAUGAAUCAUCACCGGAAUAGAGUGGUGAAGGCCCCAUAGAUUAGUGUGAUCAAGUUCUAGUGUAGUUUUGGUUUUGAUUUCAGUAUUAGGAAAAUGAAGCCUAUGAAAUUUACUAAGCUAACAUGCUUCACAAAAGUGCUUUAAUACUUGAAGAGGAUAAAUGAGGAUAAAUAAAUUUAAAUAUACAUUAGAUUUUGAGGGUUGGGAUGUCAAAACUUUUGGUGAAAAAGAGUUAGUACAAGCAUUUUUAUUGAGAUUGAAAAUAUUUCUUAAGAUGAUCAAUACUAGUUACAAAAUUGGAAUGAAAAAAAAAGGCAACAUAGACAAAGGUUUGUUUAUUUGAUUGUAAGAUAGAAAAGACUUGUAUUUAAGUUGUGGAAAGGAUUUGAGCAGCAAUUUAUACAACCUUUUCUCAGCAAAACCUUCCUCUUCAAUGAAUCCUUCACAAAACAAAUAGAUCCAAGAAAUUCGACAAAUAAAUUGUUGUCAAUGGUAAGUUUUGAAAUGCUCAAUAGAUUCUUUGUAAUGGAUGGAACAAACAGUACAUCCUUAAGUAAAAUAUGUCUUAUAUUAUCUUUUUUUAAUUCUUUUUUAAAAAAUAAGUGAAUAAUAGUAUGUCAAUCUCAAAUAUCAAUAUGUACAAUUUUUAUUUGUGUAAGAAUUUGCAUCCAAUAAUCAUCAAUACAUAAUUGUCUUUUAAUUGAAUGGUUCUCACCUCCCUUCCAAACUUUGAAAAGGUAAAAUAAGAUCAAUCAUGUCAGUGGCAAUUAAUAUAAAGAUUACUUUUCUUAUUUGUAGUAACGUCCUCUGAUUAUUUAGCUGAUUUUCAAGCUACACAUUUAUUCCAUUUGAUGUUGAUAUUAGUAAAAUUAAUGUAAUAUUUAAAAAGGAAAAAAAUCCGUCGAGCUAAAAGCCGAGUAUAAAAUUGAACCGGACCCAAACCAGAAACGCACGCCAACAACAUGCUUGCGUUAGUCGGCCCAUGCCCAUAAACCCACCAAGCCCGAUCCAAAUAGAAAAAUGAAUUGGACACCCGAGAUAGCAGAAACAGAUAAGUAACGGUCGUGUUAUCCCCAAUCUCAUAUCUUCAACGGUAUCCAGCCAACAUCUCAAAGUGUUCAAUUUUUUUUUAAGCCAAAAAAAAAUUCAAAAUUUUCAAGCGGAAUCUGGGAAGAUGGCGAUGAAAAGCAAGAUUCUGGUUAUCGGCGGAACCGGAUACAUCGGUAAGUACUUAAGGUGCGUUUGAAAUUGAGGUUGAACAACUAUAACUUUAAAACUACAGCACUAAAAUAUUUGGUAAACACUAACUGUUGUAACUUAAAAGCUAUUUAAUAUAAUUUUUCACUUGUAUAAUAAAAAAUUUAUUAUCUUUAAUAAUUUUGUCAAAAUUAUUAUUUAAAAUAUAUACAGUAAGAGAGAUUGUAACAUUUUCAAUCUUUGGUUUGAUAUUCUGGAAGAAAACGGUUUGCCGUUUACGGAGAAAAUGGCUAACCGUUUAAUUUCAGAGAGCAUGUUUUCUAUUCUAGAGAAAACGACUAACCGUUUGGAGAAAAUGGCUAACCGUUUGGAGAAAACGGCUAACCGUUUUGAGAAAACGGCUAACCGUUUAAUUCCAGAGAGCAUGUUUUCUGUUCUAAAGAAAAUAACUAACCGUUUGGAUAAAACAACCAACCAUUAAUUACAGAGAGUAACUUAUUUGACAUUCUGGAAUAAAACGGCUCACCGUUAUUGAGAAAAUGGCUAACCGUUUAUUUCCAGAGAGCGUGUUUUUGCGUCAACUGGAAAAACGGUUAGCAAGCUUGGAAAUUUCAAUUGUCAAUCGAUGCAAACUCAAACCAAAAGAGUGUUUUUUAAAGAAGUACCAUUUUUAAUGGUUGUAUUCUUUCAAAUAAACAUCUUCUUUAUUAAAGAUAAACAAACUAUUAUAUCAUAAUCAGAUUUUGCAGGUUUCAUAUAUGUUCUGGAAAUACAAUCUUAUUUUCUAGAGAUUGUAUUCAGGAUUUGAUAUAUCUUAGGGGUAAUUUGCCAUUAAAACUCUAUAGCAAACCAAGAUUGGUGAGGGCAAAUAAAACCUUAAAGAAAAGUGUGCAAACACGUCUCAAAUCCUAAGAAAUUUUCUUUGUUCUUUGCCUCCAUAUUCUUAAAAUUUGAAAAUUCACCCAUCAAUCUUUAAGGUUUUAUUUUGAUGCAAAUAGAGGCUGAGAAGAGUUUGACGCCAUUUCUUAAUCCUAGUGUCCAUCUCGAUCGUUUUGAUGGAACAAAUUUCACUCGUUGGAAGGGAAAAUUGUUCUUUCUUCUUACUGUUCUUAAAGUGACAUAUGUUCUUGAUCCGAAAUUGGAACCAUUUCCAGAACCAAGAGAAGAUGAUACCGAAGUUGUUAAGGCUGCAAGGAAACGUCGUGAAGAUGAUGAAUUGAUGUGCCGGGGUCACAUACUCAAUACGCGUUCUGACAGGUUAUAUGAUCUCUACAAUUUUAUGACUUCUCCGGUGGAAAUUUGGAAUGCUCUUAAGUACAAAUACAAAACGGAGAAAGAAGGUACUGACAAAUUCCUUGUCUCUAAAUAUUUUGAAUUUAUUAUGAUAGACACACAAUCCAUUCUUGAUCAAAUACAUGAGUUAUAAAUUAUUGUUGCUAAGCUUCGAGAGUUAAAAGUUGAAAUUUUUGAAUCAUUUCAAGUUGGGACUAUUAUUGCUAAAUUGCCUCAAAGUUGGAAUGAUUAUAGAAAGAAACUCCUUCAUAGUAAAGAGAACAUAACUUUAGAAGAAUUGCAAAAACACUUGAUAAUUGAAGAAGAGACUAGGUCUCGCGAAUCCAAGGAUAAGCAUGAUUCUACUAAAGUUAAUGUUCUUGAAGCUAGUAAAUUCUCAAAGAAUUUUAAAGUCAAGAAUGACAAGAAAUUUAAGAAGUCCAGCACACAAAAGUUUUCUGGAAAUUGUUUCUUUUGUGGUAAGAAAGGUCAUCGCCAAAGUGAUUGCAGAUUCAAGAAAAAAAAAAGGAAGAAGUGGAUUCCUAUAAAGCUAAUGUUAUUGAAAACAAAUCUGAAAAGAUUUGUGCUAUGGUUUCUGAAAUGCAAAUUGGCAUGAUUAUCGAAACCAAUAUGGCUGAAACUAAGUCCUAUGAUUGGUGGCUCGAUUCGGGUACAACAAUUCAUGUUUGUAAUGAUAAGAAAUUUUUAUUAUCAUACAAAGAAGAAACGGAAGGACAAAUGGUUCUCAUGGGGAACAAUAAUGCAGCCAUAGUAGCAGGGAAAUGAGUAGUUGAGAUCAACUUCACUUCUAGAAAGAAAGUCACAUUGUAUAAUGUCUUUCAUGUACCUUUCGUUAGGAAGAAUCUUAUUUCUGCUAGUUGUAUGUGUAAGCAUGGGCUUAAGAUUGUGCUUGAGGGUAAUACUUGUAUUAUCUCAAAGAAUGAAUUAUUUGUUGGGAAAUGGUAUUCUUGUGAUGGAAUGUACAAACUCAACAUUAAUAAUAAUAAUAUCAACUUAGCUUAUAUUGUUGAGUCUUGUGAUGUUUGGCAUGCUAAAUUAGCACAUUUGAAUUUUAGAUCUUUGAAAUACAUGUCUGAGCAUGGUUUGAUUAAUUGCAAUGAUGUUAAAGGUCAUAAGUGUGAAAUCUGCAUCCAAGCUAAAUUAACUAAGAAACAUUUUCUUAAAGCCGAACGAAAUACUCAAAUAUUGGACUUAAUAUAUACCGAUAUUUGUGAGUAUAAUGGCGUUUUAACAAGAGGAGGUAAGAAGUACUUUAUCACUUUUAUUGAUGAUUGUUCUAGAUACACUUAUGUGUAUUUACUUAGAACAAAAAAUGAAGCUUUUGAUAAAUUUAAAAUUUUCAAAGCUGAAGUUGAGAACUAAAAAGAUAAGAAAAUCAAAAUGGUUCGUAGUGAUAGAGGUGGUGAAUAUUUCUCAAUUGAAUUUAAUAAUUAUUGUGAAGAAUUUGGAAUUAUUCACCAAAGAUCAGCUCCAUUUACUCCUCAACAAAGUGGUUUGGCUAAAAGAAAGAAUAAGAUCUUCACAGAUAUGAUAAAUUCCAUGAUCCUUAAUGCAAAACUACCAAAUAAUUUGUGGGGGGAAGCAUUACUCACUGCAUGUCAUAUUCAUAACAGAAUUACAUAUUUGAAAACACAUAUAUCUCUUUAUGAAAUUUGGAAAGGAAGAAAACCAAACUUGAUGUAUUUAAGGGUCUAGGGUUGUUUAGCUUUUUAUAAAAUACAUGAUCCUAAAUCAUCAAAGUUAUGUGCUAGAUGUAUAAAGAGUGUUUUCGUAGGAUAUGCUGAAAAUUCCAAGGCUUAUAGGUUGUUAGAUUUAGAUUAUAAUGUGAUUGUGGAAUCUAGAGAUGUUGAAUUUAUUGAGAAUAAAUUUCAACAUGAUUCUAAUAUUGAAUUAGAAUCAAUUAUUGAUCAACCAUGUGUUAAUACUCCUGUUACCUCCACUAACAAUAAUAAAAGGAAAGACUCUAUGACAUCUUUCGAACCAAUGAGGAGUCAAGGUGAAAAGAAAGAAAAGAGUUUAGCUCCGAAUUUUAUUUCAUCACAAGCACUACUCUUCUUGGUUGAAGGGGAUAGAAAGAAUGUACUUAACAAAGUACCAUUGUUGUUAAAUAUUGAAAAAGAUCCAAAGACAUUUAGCGAAGCUAUGUCUUCUAGAGACGCUUCUUUUUGGAGAGAGGCGGUAAAUGAUGAAAUUGAUUCGAUUAUUUCGAAUCAAACAUGGGUCUUGGUUGAUCUUCCUCCAGGAUCUAAACCAAUUAGCAGCAAAUGGGUAUUUAGAAGAAAGUACAAUAGUGAUGGUUCUUUGCAAACUUUUUAGGCUAGAUUAGUAGCCAAAGGGUUUAAGCAAAGAAAUGGUAUUGGUUAUUUCGAUACAUAUGCUUCGGUAGCAAGGUUAACUUCUAUAAGAGUGCUAUUUGCAAUUGCUUCAUUGAAUAAUUUGUAUGUGCAACUAAUGGAUGUUAAAACCGCUUUUCUUAAUGGUGAUCUUGAUGAAGAAAUCUAUAUGGAACAACCUGAGGGAUUUGUUUUACCAGGAAAUGAGAAAAAAGGUAUGCAAGUUAGUCAAAUCACUUUAUGGUUUAAAGCAAGCACCAAAACAAUGGCAUGAGAAGUUUGAUUCGGUAAUUUUAUCUCAUGGUUUUAAGCAUAAUAAUGCUGAUAAAUGUAUAUAUUUUAAAGUUACGAAUGAUUUUGGUGUGAUUAUAUGCUUGUAUGUUGAUGACUUGCUUAUCUUUGGAACAAAUAUGCAAGGAGUAGAUGAUACAAAGAAGUAUUUAACUUCACAAUUUAAGAUAAAAGAUCUUGGUGAAGUAGAUACUAUCUUAGGUGUCAAAGUGAAGAAACAUAGUGGGGGUUACUCGUUGUGUCAAUCUCAUUAUAUAGAGAAAGUGCUUCUUAAAUUCAAUUAUUUGAAAUUUAAAGAAGCUAAUACCCCAUAUGAUUCUAGUAUUAAAUUAUUAGAGAAUUCAGGCCGAGUAGUAGCACAACUAGAAUAUGCUAGUGCUAUUGGUAGCUUGAUGUAUGCUAUGCAUUGUACGAGGCCUGAUAUAGCAUUUGCAGUUUGCAAAAUGUCAAGAUUCACGAGUAACCCUAGUGUUGAACACUGGAAAUCAAUUGGUAGAAUACUUGGUUAUCUUAAAAGGACCAUUAAUUUGGGUUUGUUUUAUAAUGAUUAUCUUGAAGUACUGGAAGGAUAUUCAGAUGCUAGUUGGGUAACCAAUACAAGAGAUAAUAAAUCCACUUCUGGUUGGAUUUUUACAAUUGCUGGAGGAGCAGUUUCUUGGGCUUCAAAGAAACAAAUGUACAUAACUCAUUCAACAAUGGAAAGUGAGUUUAUAGCACUCGCAGUUGCAAGCAAGGAAGUAGAAUGGCUGAGAAAUUUGUUGUUUGAUAUAAUGUUAUGGCCACAACCGAUGCCAUCUAUUUCUUUGUACUGCGAUAGUGAAGCUACAUUGUCUAGAGCUUAUAAUAAAGUGUAUAAUGGAAAGUCUAGACAUAUUAGCUUGAGACAUGAAUAUGUGAAACAAUUAAUAGCAGAUGGUGUUAUUAAUAUUGUUUAUGUUAGGACUAAUAAGAACCUAGCGGAUCCUUUAACAAAAGGUCUUACAAGAGACUUAGUUAAGGAUACAUCUUUUGGAAUGGGAUUGAAACCUUUAAAUAAUAAAGUCACCAACGACGAUAACCCAACUAUGUAGUAGUUGCACCGCUACUCCAUAGUUAAAUGGAUAAUAACAAGUUGUUGUUAUGUGACUGGUUUGGCACCGAGUAAUAAAUAAUCACAUUCGAGAUAUUCGGUGCAAAUAGCUACGAGGUUGAGGUUGAGUAUUUACUCUUAAUGAAGUUCAAGUCUUAUACUAGCUAAAGACAUGAUUUGAAACUUCACCUAAGUGAACAUAAGAAAUGGUGCCGUUUCUAACAAGAUCAUGGUUUAAUCUAGUAAAUGUUUAUGAAUCCAAGAUAGAGCACAAGGCCGGAAUAGUGCUAAAUAUUGGAACACAACUUUGAAAAUCUGGGAUAGCUUAUAUGUGAUGUAUCUCCGGUAUUUACUUAAGAGACAAAGUUUAAUGCUUAGCACACUAUUGUUUUGUAAAUGCUUUGAAAUACACUCACUAAUUAAAGGUUAAAAUCGAAAGAUAUCGUUUUGUAUGUAUAAGUUUAUCAUUAAUAAAUAUGAAAAAUAUUACAAUCUAGUGGGGGAUUGUAAGAGAGAUUGUAACAUUUUCAAUCUUUGGUUUGAUAUUCUGGAAGAAAACGGUUUGCCGUUUAUGGAGAAAACGGCUAACUGUUUAAUUCCAAAUAGCAUGUUUUCUGUUCUAGAGAAAACGACUAACUAUUUGGAGAAAAUGGCUAACUGUUUAAUUUUAGAGAGCAUGUUUUCUGUUCUAGAGAAAACGGCUAACCGUUUGGAUAAAACGGCCAACCGUUAAUUACAGAGAGUAACUUAUUUGACAUUCUGGAAUAAAACGGCUCACCGUUAUUGAGAAAACGGCUAACCAUUUAUUUCCAGAGAGCGUGUUUUUGCGUCAACUGGAAAAACGGUUAGCAAGCUUGGAAAUUUCAAUUGUCAAUCGAUGCAAACUCAAACCAAAAGAGUGUUUUUUUAAAGAAGUACCAUUUCUAAUAGUUGUAUUCUUUCAAAUAAACAUCUUCUUUAUUAAAGAUAGACAAACAAUUAGAUCAUAAUCAGAUUUUGCAGGUUUCAUAUAUGUUUUGGAAAUACAAUCUUAUUUGCUAGAGAUUGUAUUCAGGAUUUGAUAUAUCUUGGGGGUAAUUUGCCAUUAAAACUCUAUAGCAAACCAAGAUUGGUGAGGGCAAAUAAAACCUUAAAGGAAAGUGUGCAAACACGUCUCAAAUCCUAAGAAUUGUUUUUUGUUCUUUGUCUCAAUAUUCUUAAAAUUCGAAAAUUCACCCAUCAUAUACAUACUACAUAUUAUUAAUUUUUGUUUUAUAACUAUAGUUUUUUUUUUACCGCAACUGUAGUUUAAAAACUACAGCACCUCAAUCCCAAAUAAGACCUUAGUAGAAGUGAGCGCGAAAGCCGAUCACCCAACAUUCGCGCUUGUGAGAGACUCCACUCUCUCCACUCCUUCCAAAUCCAAAAUCCUCGACCGUUUCAAAAAUCUCAGCUCGACCGUUUCAAAAAUCUCAGCGUCAAUUUAGUUCAUGUGCGCCACUCUUUUAGCUUUCCAAUUUUCCCGCCAAUUUUCUUUUAUUGUGAUUAAUUAAUUAAUUAAUGUAAAGAUUUUAUAUUAUAAUUUUGUUUGCAGGGAGAUCUAUACAGCCAUGAGAGCUUGGUGAGUACAAUAAAGCAAGUGGAUGUGGUGAUAUCAGCGAUAGGUCGCACUCAAUUAGCUGAUCAACUCAACAUUAUCGCAGCAAAUUGCGAUAACUAAGUACUUGGGAUUUUAAAGAAGCUGGAAAUGUUAAGGUUCUGAUUAACUUAAGUAAAUGCGUUAACUAAUUACUUGGGAUUUUAAAUUCAAAUGUGUGAAUUGUUCUAAAAAAUUAUUUAUGUUUAUUAGUCAGAGAUUCUUUCCUUCAGAAUUUGGAAAUGAUGUUGAUCGCGUGCAUGUCGUUGAGCCAGCAAGAACAUCAUUUGCCACCAAGGCUAAAAUCCGCCGAGCUGUUGAGGAUGAAGGAAUUCCAUACACCUACGUAGCUACGUAGCUUCCAAUUUCUUCGCUGGUUUGUAUCUUUCCAGUUUCUCACAGCCUGAAGCCACAGCUCCUCCAAGGGAUAAAGUGGUCAUCGUAGGUGAUGGAAAUGCAAAAGGCAAAGCGCUUCUGGAUACAUUUACUCUGUACACGCAAUGUGUGGUUACUGUUUGGAGAUAAAAAAGGAGAUUAAUUAAUAAAGAAAAUGAAAUUAUUGAGGGAUUUGCUGAAGAGUUGCGUGCACUCCUCAUUUUUCUCCACCACUCAUCUUACUUGCAAAAUGCAAUGACCAAACUAUCCUCGCCAAAGCCUAGACAUUUACUUGUGUUCAAAGGCCAUUUAAGGGAGACAAGUACAAAAAGUUAUAAAGGAUAGUAAGCAGAAGAAGAAAAUGGAAAGGGGAGGGGGGGGGGGGGAGAAUAAAAAAGGGGAGUGGGGCGUUAUCUAGGGAGGAUUUUUAUUUUUAUUUUUUUUCCUCUCUUCUCCAUGGCAUCUCUUUCUCUCUUUCUCCCACUAAGAAAUUCUUUCUUUUACACUCUAUUUUACUUUUAUGCAAAUUACGCAAAAAACUUUUGGUUUUAAGGCAAUGUUUAUUAAGCCACGUGAAUUUGAAAAAGCAUGAAUAAGGGGAUGAUUUUAACACAUUAAUUCACCAACAUUAAUUGGAAAAGAUCAGUUGCCACUUCGAAUCAGAGUAAUUUCUUCGGCAAUAGCCAAAUAUUGAUAUUUGAUCUUGACACUGUAGUUAAAUCAAUGUAACUGAUUUUGUCAUUUGAUCCCCAGUAAUUUUUAACAAGGAAGACGAUAUUGGGAUUAAUUCUAUCAAAGCGGUGGAUGAUCCAAGAACACUGAACAAAAUACUUUACAUCAGACCCCGUUGCAAUAUCUACUCAUUUAAUGAUCUUGUGUCUCUGUGGGAGGAAAAGAUUGGCAAAGCCCUUGACAGGGUCUAUGUUACAGAGGAACAACUUCUGAAAAACAUUCAAGGUUAGUUAGAACUAUCACUUUAUCAAGUGGAUAGAUGUAACUGACCGAUAAUGGAAAUUUUUUUCCUUCUCCAAAAUGCGAUAGAAUCUAAUCGGUUUCAACAAUCUCAAGAACACCUAUUCAUGGUUGUGUUGUUUGAAAUCUGUAUGUAUCAGUUUUCUUUCUAGAUCUCAGAUUGCUCGCAAGGAUGUCAAGUUUUGAUGAUGCUUGCCUGUUUUCCUGUGUUUACAGAAGCUUCAUAUCCACUCAAUAUGAUAUUACCUAUUGGGCACUCUGCCUAUGUCCUGGGAGAUCAGACCAACUUCGAAAUUGAACCUUCAUUUGGAGUAGAGGCAACAGAGCUUUAUCCAGAUGUCAACUACACUACUGUGGAUGAGUACCUCAACCAGUUCAUAUAAACCUUCUGAGAUGAGCAGCAGGAUCCUAACAAAAAAUUGGGUGGUUUCCAUCCCUGAUUCUAUGGUAUAAAGAUAGCGGCUUUCCCUGCUUUUGCCAGUUCAGUGAAGUUUGUUAGAUGAUGUUAUUUAUACUAUACUAGCAAAGAUCAAGUUGCCUUUCUUGUCAAGAAGCCAAGCUCUGGCAUUGGUUUAUGCUAGUUUUUCACACUAAUAUUGGUAUUCACUAAUUUUUUUUUUUCAUUUCACACCGCCAUCAUCAGUGGAGAUGCCCUCUUGUAUGGUACUAACUUUGAUUUUCCUUAUGCUUCACUUGCUGUCUCUGCAGAUUCGUAAAAGAUCAUUCAUGGAUAAGAUCAGAACAUCAAUUUGAUACAGUAUGCAUUGAGAACUCCCACAUGAUUCUUGUUCUAGUUCUGGUUAGACAUGAAACAUGUUACAGUUCCAUAACUUGAGACAUUGUCAUUCAACAAUUAUCAUCACAUUAAAACAGUGGCCAAUCCCUAACAGCUACCUUUUGACUCUUCACAUUUUUUUUCUGCAUUUUAUGCGCAUUAAUUAUCUAGACCUAGACUUAUUACACUUCUCAGCCUGGCCCGUUGGACAGUGAGUGAUGAAACAAAUUUUUUUUCAUGUUUAUUACUUUUUUUGCAUUCAAAAUGAUAAAACUGCAGAGGUUGUUGCAUGCACGUCAUUUGUUAGUAGGGGUAUCAAUUUAUGAACGUAUGAAGUAUCUCUUCUGCACCGGCAUCCUCCUUAACUGUCAGUAGGAUCACAAUAAGUCGACCAACCAUCUACCGUAUGGAUUAUCUAUAAAUUGAAAUUGGUGUGUAUUAUGGAUCUGUCACUCUGCUGCUUCUGUUUUCUUUUCUAUUUUUACCAAGAAAGAAACAUUGUUAAAACUGAAUGGUUGUUAUCUCGUCUUGUUGUAAUGUUGUGUAUGCUUUCUAGAAAAUAAUGAAGUGCCAAAUAUGAAAAUACUAGUGGCUACCUUACCAUCCUUAAUAAGUUGUCUGAUUGUCACCGUCAACAAUCACUCUCAGCAACUCAUAAUCCAUUUAAGCAUAUUAUAAAAUAAUCAAUUUUGUAUUUGCACCAACUUUUAGUUUUAAAUGACAAUUUCGUUGAUCCCCACACUUCUGUACUAAUCAAAUCCACUGAAACUGGACUUUUUUUUCUUUUUUUUUAUAAUUACAUCGAUUGCAUUGGCUAUUGCAGGGAAAAGACUGCCUCUACAGGGAACUAAACUUUCAGAAUUGAUCUUAUGAGGGUUUGAAUAUGCUCUCGUACUAGGUCAAUGGCCUAUUGGUUCGAGACCAUUCACAAAGAAAGAAAUGAGUUUUGCUUGUAUAAAUGAAAGAAAUCCAAAUGAUAACUAAUGUAUAGUGGUACAUGAGAAAAAUAAUUUCAGCCCCUGUGUAAAGUCAAAAAGAGAAAAUAUUAAAAGAAAGGAUAAUGUCAUUGAGUUCGGUGAAGUGAAAGAAAAUAAAAAACAUGGGAUUUAGUCAAACUUAGUGUCCCAAUCAGCAGAAAAAGGUUUUAGAAACUCACCUCAAGUUAAGCCAACUAUUAGGAGCUUUAUUUAAUCAUGGCUUUCUAAUGUAUAGUACUCCAAUACUAAACGAGGGCUACCUCUACGCUUGCAAAUGUAAAUGAAAUUGAGUUCGUGACGCACAAUGAAGUGAGCAAAAUGAGUUGAGAUCUGAGAAUAUAUUAAAGAAAAUAUGAAUCAAUGAAUUUUGGUUAAAAAAAACAAAUGCUGGUUCUUCAAGACCUGCGUGUAUUGUGUAAGUUUUGUUAGGAGAAGGAAAGCAUUUUGGUCUAAAACGCACUAAAUCGGAUUCAUUUGCUUGAUAUCUAAUAAGGGUGAAUUAACCACUCGCCCACAGCAAUUCAAGUACCCAAAAAAGUUUUGUGGGGGCUAAAUUUCUUCUUUAAUUAUAAAAAAUAAUUGAACGGAGGAUAAAAAUUUAGGCCAUGUAUAACAAUAACUAAUAUAAACUAGUCCUAAUAAUAGUAUAAUUGUAAAUAUCAGUUGUAGUCUCAUACAAUAUAAGUUUAUAGAUUAUAAUAUCGGCAUAAAAAGAAAAAUGAUAUCUGACGGUCAAUCAAUAAAAGGAUAAAAACUUUGGAGUAACAUACCACAAAGUCAAUGUAGCUGGACAGUGAAUAUAAUAUGUAAACAAAUUUAAAUGGGAUAAUACCAUACGGUACAUACAUAACAUUUUAAAACUGAAUUAAAAAAAUAAAAUUAAAACUGAAUUAGAAUUCGUAUGUGUAUCCAGCUACCUUGCCACAGUUGUAAGGUACCCUAACUUUGCAACAAUUUCAUCCUUCGUGCAUUCGGUCACAAAGUCCAAAUUAGGCACGUUUAAGAAUCGAACUGAAAAACUAAAAAAAAGAAUCCGGCGAUAUUUGCGAACCGGAAACGAGCCAGCGUUAUGCUUAUGUCAUUUCAGAGAUAUCAACAGUCGUGCUUUCAGUCCUUAAACCUCAAGGGCAUUUUCGUCCUUUCACUCAAGCGUGAAACUGCAUGUAAGAACUGCUUCGCUUACACGCUCCAUGCACAUUUAAAGGCACCACUGUCGGAUAAAAAAUAUCCAUCCAUUUGAUCAUUUCAAAACAAAACGAAAAAAAAAAUCUCAGUAAUUGAACUGAACGAGUCUCAGAAAUGGCAUCGAAAAGUAAGAUUCUAUUCAUCGGCGGGACAGGGUAUAUCGGUAAAUUCACUGUCGAAGCGAGCGUAAAAGCCGGCCACCCGACGUUCGUGCUCGUGAGAGAAUCCACAAUCUCUGGUCCUUCCAAAUCUCAACUCCUCGAUCACUUCAAAAACCUCGGCGUCAAUCUCGUCAUAGUGCGUUUUCAUUUUUCUCUUUUCUUAAUUUUUUAUUCCGAUCAUUUUUACACGUCGAAGUGUAGCAUCUACUACUUAAUAUACAUAAUGAUAUUAUUAUUUUUUAAUUUUUUUGGGUUGCUGUUAUUAUUAUGCAGGGAGAUGUGUUGAAUCACGAGAGUUUGGUGAAGGCGAUUAAACAAGUGGACGUGGUGAUAUCAACGGUCGGUCACACUUUAUUAGCUGAUCAGGUCAAGAUUAUUGCUGCCAUUAAAGAAGCCGGUAACGUUAAGGUAUAACAUAAUUAAUAUAAAUAUCUUGAAUUCCGAUCAGGAUUGUGCACUCGCGAACACGUGGUGAUUUAUUCUUGGUGUGGAGCUCGCUGUAGAGUAGAGCUCCCAGUUCAGCUAAUAAACACCCCGUCACAUGCGCAAUUGCGCCUCAAAAUAAUUUAAUUGAUUAAUUAAGGAUAAAUACCAAUGGCAUGAAAGCAAUUAAAAUUAGUUGAUGUUUAUAAAUUAUUUAUUACUCAGAGAUUCUUACCAUCGGAAUUUGGAAAUGAUGUUGAUCGAGUUGAAGGCGCCGUAGAGCCAACAAAAUCGACGUAUGACGUAAAGGCGAAAAUCCGCCGAGCCGUUGAGGCAGAAGGCAUUCCGUACACUUACGUAGAAUCUUAUUGUUUUGAUGGCUAUUUCCUCCCCAAUUUGUUGCAGCCUGAGGCCACUGCCCCCCCUAGGGAUAAGGUUGUCAUCUUAGGCGAUGGAAAUCCAAAAGGUAAUAUAAUUUAAUUAAGCUCUGUUUGUUUGGUAUGUAUUUCGGUGUUAAUGUUAUUGUCUGUUGUACAAUGGAUGGUCUUGCUUGGUACUGUUGUUGGAGAGCUGCAGUGUUUUGAUAAACACCUCUAUCCUUAGCUUUCAAGUUAAGUUGAUUUUAUACAACACUUGUUUAAUUCAAAACUUGUAAUAUUCUUACUACUUUGAUAAAAAAUAUUACGAUUAAAGCAUUAAUGGCACCAUAAUACGAAAUGAACCUUAAGUGGUCAUUAUAGAUUUUAAGAUAGAGUUUUAAGUGAUUACCAGAUACUUUAGCUGCUGAACCGCCACAUCAUGGUUGCCACACAACAAUUUCAAACAGAACCUAAAUAACUUCAUUGCAAAACAGUUAAAUGAAUCUAACUUAGUUUCGUCGUUUGAUUUUCAGCUGUUUUUAACAAGGAAGAUGAUAUUGGAACCUACACUAUCAAAGCGGUUGAUGAUCCGAGAACCUUGAACAAAAACUUUUACAUUCAGCCUCCCGGUAAUAUUUACUCAUUCAAUGAUCUUGUGUCUCUGUGGGAGAGAAAGAUUGGUAAAACCCUCGAAAAGGAGUAUGUUUCAGAGGAGCAGCUCCUAAAGAAUAUUCAAG